rnacentral:lncRNA from 1 species
AUACACCUGGAAUGUUAUAAACUUCUUUAAAAUCUUAAUUGAAUACACUUAGAUUUCUAAGGAUUUUAAUAAACUAUCUUAAAAUCCUGAUUGAAAACACGUUGAAUUUCAAAUAAUCACUUAAAAUCAUGAUUGAAUACCCUUAGGUUCAUUAAAAGAAUUAAAAUCCUUCAAAAUUUCAGUUGGAUACACCUCUGCCAAAUAAAUGCUUGUAACAUUCACACCCCUCAGUUACAAAUUAUUGUUUAAAGUGGGUUCAUACUAAUAGUUGUAUAAAAAAAAUUAAAAAAAAAAAAAAAAAAAAAAAAAGCUGCAUAUAUGUUACCCCUUAUUCGGAAUUGAUAACUCUACUAUUCGUAAGUGUUUAUGUUAUAUGUGCCUCUACUAUAAACAUGUAUAAUUUUUUAUUAGAAAAUCAAGUGUGUCCUGGAGAAUCACUCAAUUGUAAGUUCUUCUUCAAUCUUAAGUGUUUCUCUGCAAAGCUCUUCAAUCUUAAGUGUUUCUCUGCAAAGCAUUUUUACGGCCUACAAGGGCUUCUACAACAUAGAACUGCUUAUUUUGAUUUUAAUGUCCAACGCAUUAAGAAAGUAAUUUUAGUUCAGUAAACAUUUUUAGCUCCUCUAAAACCAAUAUCAAAUGCGCACUACCAUUCUUUUUCCUUUUUUUAAAAGUUCAUCUAUGGUCCCCUAGCAAGCAUGUCGAAUUAGAAACUGAAAUUUCUGUCCUAAUUUGCUCUAACUUAUGCACUAAUUAUGCUUGAUUGGCUUGACACCCAAAACAGAUUAAAUCCCGAAGGAUGAAACCUGCUCUGAUACCAAAUUGAAUAUCAGAGUGCACAACGAACAAGACUAACAAAAUAAUAGGAAUUAUAUUAAACAAGCGAGAAUGCCGGAACGGCUACAAAAUCAUAAGAGGCUACAUUGUGAAGGGCUUGUUCUCAAAUGAAUAACAAGCAUGCUAUUUAUAAUAAACUAAUCAUAAUCCUAAAAUGUAAGAAAUCAAAACCCUAAUGCUAACGGGUUAAGCGCAGAAAACCAAACAUUCAAAUAAACUAAAUACUAAUAUUUUCCAACAUAAUUAAUAUAUGUCAAAACUUGGCAGUGGAUUUUAUCAACGUGGACGGAUAGCGAAUGCAAGGUGAUACUGGAGAAUUGUUACAAAGCACUUCCGGAAGGAGGGAAGCUUAUAGCUUGUGAGCCGGUAUUGCCAAAGAAAUCAGACGAGAGUCAUAGGACCCGUGCGCUUCUAGAAAACGACAUAUUUGUGAUGACCAUCUACCGGGCCAAGGGCAAGAAUAGGAGCGAAGAUGAACUCCGGCAGCUCGGUCUCUCCGCUGGUUUCUCCCAUUUCAAACCAUUCUACAUCGAUUAUUUCUACACCGUCAUAGAAUUCCAAAAGUGAAGUUUCGUUUGGCUUAAAUUCAACUUUGUUGUGCUUUGCUUCUUUUGAUUAAGAAGAAUAAGAAAUGUAAAACUUCCAUUUGGCUUAAAUUCAACUUUGUUGUGCUUAGCUUCUUUUGAUUAAGAGGAAUAAGAAUUGUAAAACUUCCAUUUGGCUUAAAUUCAACUUUGUUGUGCUUUAGCUUCUUUUGAAAGAAGAAUAAGAAUUGUAAAACUUCCAUUUGGCUUAAAUUCAACUUUGUUGUGCUUUUAGCGUCUUUUGAUUAAGAAGAAUAAGAAUUGUACUAGUUCAAUUCUCGCCAAAAGCAAAUUUGUACUAUAUUAUUAUGGCUCGCUCAUUGUGAGGCUUAACUCAUUUUCUUAUUUUAGUGUAGGUAAUAUCAUUUGUUCAAAUAAAAAAAUUUCAUUCAUACUAAAUUUCUAAUUCUAUUCAUGACCAACACUAAUAGGCCAAACGCCUAUGCUUGAUUAUUGGGCUUCAAAUUAGCAAUUUCUAACGAUUUUCAAAUUCCUCAUAUUUCUAUUUCAACUUGAUCCAAAUCAACCUAAUAACAGCAAUUAUAUUCCAAAUUGUAUAAAAGGGUGACAUGUGUAAUGUAAAAUUACUUUUCUAUUAAAUUAUUAUAUACCCGGUUGGUUCGGUUUACCGUGGGGUUAGACAAUCCAAAUUAAAGUGUAAGAAAAAUAAAUGUCUAAGAUUGAAAGUAGAAAAUAUUACAGUUGUGGAGCCAUUUAGUACUAUGGUCUAGUAAUAUUCUUCUUUCACUUGUAAGUGAGAGAUUUUAGGUUUGAUUCUCGCAAAAAAACGAAUUUGAAUCACAUUAUUGCUAGCUCUUUGUGAGGCUAAACCCACACCCCUCCUCUUAGUGUAGAUAAUAUCGUUUAUUCAAAAAAUAGUUGUGAAAAUUAAAUUUAACAGCUAAAGUUGUUGGCGUAAAAAAUCAGAUAGAGUCCGAUUUAUGUCCACUCAUGAUUUGGCCCGAGUUUUUCUUUCGAUCUCAGUGCCAAUGAGUGGUUGAAAGAAAGUAUGGUAAUAGGUCUACCACUAAAGAAGAAUGUGAAGAUCUCCAAAAAUUUGAUUGUGCUUGAGAAUAAGAAAGUUGAAUAGGUAAAGGCAAGGUUCUAAAUAGCGCUAGACGCUAGUCAGAUAAGGGCAAGGGUAAGGGUCUAACGCCUAGGUGCCUAGGAGUCUAGAAUCUAGGCAUUUUAUUUUACUUUAAUUAAGUAUAUUGUAUAAUAUAUAAAUAAUGUCCACUUAUACUUAAGAAAAUACAUAAUUGUAUUGAGAUACAUAAAUUGAAAAAUAGAAUGACUUAUAGAUAAUUAAGUAUAGAUAGUGGUGAAGCUACAUGAGGGUGAUGAGUGGCAGCCACCCCUCACAUCGCCGAAAAACAUGCCUAUGAGCCCUGGUUCAGCCCCUCUGCUCUCGCCAGAAUUAAGAAAUCCCUUUUGGGGCGACCAGUGAUCUGGUUGUGCUGAUGCGCAGCGCAGGGUUAUAUAUAUAUAUAUAUACUCUUUUUUUUCUCAAAUCCAGACCAAAAUGACAUCAUUUUGGUCCUGGUAAAAAAAUUAUAAAAAUUUCCUAAUUAAAAGAUUCCGUUUGUUUAAUGAUUUGAAAAAAAAUAAAAUAAAUAUAGGGACCUAAACCCCCAUCUCCUAAUUAAAACAUUCCGUUUGUUUUGGUUCCUAUAUUUAUUUUAUUUUUUUUCAAAUCAUUAAACAAACGGAAUCUUUUAAUUAGGAAAUUUUUAUAAUUUCCAAUCAAAGAGCAACGAAGUGUGCUGCUGCUCCCCAUCUCCUAGCAACGAAACCCCCAACCGCGUUUAGCCCCUUUGCAGCCUUUAAGCCACUCUAGCCACCGCCAGCCUUCAGCCACUCCAAUCGUCGCCAGCCUUGAAGCCACCCCAGCUUCCAGCCUUGAAGCCACUCCCAAUUUUUGGGUAAAUAUUUUAAUUUCUAAUCUAUAAUCCCUAACCCUAAUUAAUUAUUUAAUAUGAAUUUUUGUUUAAUUGUUAUAGUAUAGAAAUAGAAUCAUACACUAAUGUGGUUAUUGGUUAUUGAUUAUUGAUAUGAAAUCUGUGAUUAUUGAUUAAUAAAAUUAUGUUUAGGGUAAAAAUUUAAUUCUUGAUUAUUGAUUGAUUAAUUGAUUAAUUGAAUUAUUGUAUAAUGUAUACAAUUAUUCGUAUGAUUAGUUGAUUUGAAUUUUUGUUUAUUGAAUAAUGUGUAUGAUUAUUGGCAUUGAUUAAUUGAAAUUUUGGUUAGAUUAGUUAUUAGUCAAGUUAGUGUAGUCUACUCUAGGACUAAGAGUCUAAGAAUUUUGUUUUUCUUUCUAUUUUACAAUUACGUAAUGGAACGACACUAUAAGAAACAAUGCUUAAAUCCUCCAAAUAUUUCGGGUAGUCCUCCUUCUUCAAAUAUUCCGAAUAGUCCUCGUCCUUCAAAUAUUCCAAGAAGUCCUCCAUUGAAUAUUUAUGGUAGUUGACAACAAAGUGAAGCCACUAAGUUGGAUGAAAUAUUGGCUAAUCUUCAUGAAGACCCAGGACAUAGACGUCGAAUGCUUAAUUAUCCACCUAAUUAUUGUGAAGCAAUUCGUUACACUAUCUCCAAAAUGAUCAUUGUCAACCUAAAGACUACAGUAUGGUUUGGGGUUGAGAUGAUUUAAAAACAAAAAGCUGGGGGCAUUUUUGUGUUUGGUAAACUUCCAACUUCCGUUUUUUUUUUUCACAGUUUUUGGUGAAAAAAAAAGCCAAAAAAAAGAAGCAGCAAAAGGCAGUUUUGAAAAACUGGCUUUUCAGCUUCUACGCAAACCUCUAAAACAAGGGUGAAUAGUGACCCUUUAAUGAAAGUUUAUGGCAAUCUUACCCUCCCUUCAUCUCUAUCAUCUCCUUUCUGCUCCUCCCAGCUUCAUCUCCACCAAAGAUCUUUGAAGAUUUGUGUCGCGCCCACUAUGAAUCUACCUUGUCCUUCCCCGUGAAGAUCUGAAUCAUUACCACCAGAGACCCACAAGGGUCACCACAAUGACAGCCAUAGACUGCUAUCAUCACAAAUUAACCAAAGUUGUUAUACUCAAAUGUGCUUGAAACUAAAUCAGAAUUAACAUAGGAAGAUUGUGAGAUUUGAGAAACCACGAAUUCGCAAAGGAAGAUUGCGGCGGAAAGGUCUUUCCUACAACCUUGCGGCGAGUAAGGGAUGAGUGGAAUCGGGUUUCUAGGUUGCGAAGAGCAGAGUGAAUGAGGAGUGGAAUCAGGUUUCUGGGUUUUCUUCUUCCUGAUCUUCUUUGGGGUCCCAUGGAUAAGCUUGGUUUUGGGGAACGAAGAAAAAGAAAUAUGAUAGAGAAGCAGCAGAGGAAACGAAGAGGGAAAGGAAGACACGGGGAUAAAGGAAAAUGCAGAGAGAGAUAGUUGAGUGUGGGGUUGUCUCGAUGGAGGAGAGAGUGCAGAGAGAGAGGGAGCUGAGAGUUUUUAAGAUAGUUCUGCAGUGCAGAGGGAAAAGAAGACACGGGGAUAAGGGAAAUGGGGGUGUAGGCCCCACAGCCACACAAAAUCCUCACAUAAAAAUAGUAAUAUUAAAUAAAAUAUCAUAAUAAUAAUAUAGUAUUAACUCUUUUUGGUCAUUUCAUACAAUCACAGCUAUUUUGCAUAAAAGUUUACCAAACACUACCAUACUACUUUUUUUUUUUCAAAAGCACUUUUACAAAAAAGUUUACCAAACACUUUGCUGCUUUAUUUUACAACUGUUUAUUCUCAUAGCACAACAGAAGCAGUUUUGUUUCAAAGAAUAGUAAUACCAAACCAAACCUACAUCAUGCUAAGAAACGUUAGCAACAAUCAAUGUUUUAUCACCGGUUGGUUUGAUAAGUUUAAGUGGUUGGAGUAUAGUAUAGUAAAAAGAUGAUGCAUUUUACUGUUAUUGCUAUCUUUUCAAAUGUGAUUUCGAUAAACCUGGUAGUAUUGAAAGUGAUGCCUUCACUGAGAAUGAUUUAUAAAUUGGAAGAAAGGAACAUGAAAUUUUCGAGUUCAUGAGGGAGGUGUUGGAAGUCUUCAUAAUAAAGUUGUACAACAAGCUAUAGAUUUGAUGACACAAAAUCAACACAUUGAAACAUUUGUGAUUAAGCAAACCAAUGAAUCUCGCAUUAAUUAUCACACUUUGUUGAGUGCCUCACUUAAGUGCACAAGAUGGUUGUUGGGACAAGGUUUACCUUUUUGUGGUCAUGAUGAAUUGUUGAAAUCAAGCAAUAGGGGUAAUGUUAGCCUUCUAAGGUUAUACAAUUAAAACAAAAAUGAAGGAGUGACUAACCUGAUUUCAAUGGUAGUUAUUGAAGAUGCAGCAGCCAUGCAAGCAAGACGUGAUCGAUAAAACUCCAAUCUUUAUGUUUGCCGUGACAAACAGAAACACCACCUCUUCUGUAAACUCCUAGCUUUAUGACAAUGCUCUAUGGGAAGCCUUAGUUGUCGUGUCUAGGGUUAGCAGAGACCGGUGUUUAUAUACUAGCCAAAAAGUCUUAGAUUCCGUCCAUAAGGGAAAACUAAAACUUUCCUUUCUUGGCUCUCAAGUAAAAUAAAAUCUUUAGGAGAUUAAAUCACAAUUAACAUUAUUCUCCAAUAUUACAUUCCUAUUACAUGUAGUAGACCUCUUAAGGUUGAUUUAUAUUGGAUAAAUCCAACAUUCUCCCACUUGGUCUACAAAAUGUAAUAUUCACGUUUAUACUUGAGAUUGGAGACUAAUGUCACUUUAGUGGCCAUGUAACAGUGAUUACAUCUCGUCCUUAAUGCAGCUUCUGUCAAAUGCAUUUCUUAACAUGGAACUAACAAGGUUGUAGGAUUGACACAACCCAGAACCUUCAUAAUCACACAUGCUAAGAUCCUCAUUCACAUGAAACACAAAUUAUGAUCAAGAGAUGAAACUUUAAAUAAACUUUAAAUUAACUAAAAUGUGUUACUUUAUAUCAUCUCAGGUCCACCUUAUUGUAACUCACAAGUUACACUUUAUGCUUUUUCGAAGCCUUAAAUCUGCCAAUGCAGAUAUCCUUCAUCUAAUGAAACCACCAUAACCUGUAGGUGUGAAUACAUCUCCAAAACAAUCAUGCAUCACUUUCAUCAGAUCAAUAAUAGUACAAACGAUGUUUGUAGCCAACGAACACAACUGAAAAUACCAAAUAGGCACAUGUCCAAGUAAAAUAUCCCAAAAACUUCAUAAAAUAAAUUAAUUCAACACUUGUGAGCAAGAGGAAUUAAUAUGUUUUUGACACUAAUCUAUGCACCAUACCAAUUACUUUCAUAGCGAUUUCCAACACAUGCGGGCAAGAUGGAAAUCCUCAUAACUAAGGUAGUGCACAAACCAUGUCAUGCCAUUUAAUAUGCAAUUUGAUAACAACUUGAUAUCUGAUAUAUAUUUCAUCAAAUAAUUGACUAGCACACGAAAAAUGUGACUGAAUGAAUCCAACUGGAGAUUAAUAUGAAUACAUGGAUUCUAUACAUACUUUAUAGGUCAUCUGCAAAUGUAAGCCAUUACUAACAUGAAACUCAAACUCCCACUGAUCUGCAACAUUGUUACUUAAUUUGCAAAUCAAUACUUAAAUCAUACUUUUGAAAAUAUACCUUUGGGAAUAGCCUUACUUAGUCAAUGAAUGCAUAUUACCUCAAUGAAAGGUACAACUAAGCAUGAAAGCAUUCACUGCUGUUUACAUAAAAAACGUGCAUCCAACAAUCAUCUUAUAUGUAUUAAUAAGUCCACAUUUAUGCUAAGUCCUUAUGACCCCCAAAACAAUAUGAUCAAUCGAGAAAUCUAAAUGAUUGCAAGUAAUAGAAAAUGUACGCAUAUACCAAGUAUCCAUUUCGUGCAACUUAAACAUAUUAUAGACAUUCAAGUAACACAAAUUCAUGGAAGAUAGAAUAAUGCUUUAAUAGAUUCAUGCAAGUCCACUUAGUGCUCAAACUUUUAGAACAACUCCCACUAACUUUUCAGAGUUUAUACUUGCAAAUAAGUUAAUGAGUGUGAAGCCCAAUUUUCGUUCACUGAUUCUCCCACUUGGGCAAACACUCGUUAAUAUAUUCUUUCAAAGAUGUACCUAAAGAAAAUUUCUUUAUAUAUCAGACAUAAUAAAAUAGACAUCACAACCAACAUAAAGUUGUCAAACAGAAUUUCAGCAAUGAGUUACACUUACUUUAGAAUUUAUCAUAAUUAAUUUACAAGCUUGAUUACUACCAAAUUUAUACUGAUCAAAAUAGACAUACUAAUCUUCAUAAAAUAAAAAUACAGAGCCAUUUUGGGUCAAAAUAAUAGUCUAAAGUCACGUCUCAAAAAAACAACACAAUCUGCCAGUAAAAACCGCCUAUAUAAGCAUGGGUUACUAGUAAAUUCACCAUAAUUAACAUACAUGGCAAAAAAUUACGAAACUUUGCAGACACAUAUUAGACAUCUAUAUGUUAAACAUAUCCAAAAUUCAGGUCAUUUGGUAACCAUUAGACAUGUCAUUCACCCGAUUUAAAUCAAGACACAUAAUCUGCCAGAAACAAUUAUGUGCUACUAUCAUGAAUUUAUGCAUCCAUAACAAAUUCAAUUUCAUAUCAUUUCAAUUUCAAUGUCCAGAUGAAACUUUAUUAGUCAAAUUUCAUCCUCUAAACCAACAUCAUAGUUCAAAUUGAAAAGAUUUACAAGCAUAAGACUUAAACAAUGCGUACCUUAGCAAUCCUUGAUUAACCUUCAUGGGUCCAAUACUUUGCAUCAACAAGUCUCAUGAAGAGACACAAAAUACGUCAUGAUGCAACCGAUUUCCAUGCCUUCAAACCACAACCUUUUAUGGGGCUCAUUGUGGAAAUAUUUGUCACUAAUGGCAUGGAACUUUAUCGCAAUAAACUUCAUGAAACUAAAUUAAUUUACACCUGUAGGCAAGAAAAAUAACUAGUUUCUAGUACUAGAUUUUAUGUCACAAAAGUUCAUUCAUGAAAAACUUCAACACAUGUAGGCAAGAUGAAGGUUUUGACAACUUCUGUGAAAUAAAACUCAUACUAUGCCAUCUUAAUUAAACUAAAAGAAGUAAUUCACACCUGUAGGCAAGAAGAUCAUCCAUUUUAUUCUAAUUAAGAUGCAAAGUUGACCAAAGUAACUCAAAAACAUAGUCUCAUCGUCAACUAAGCCGUUGCGUCUUGCUUAGUUGAAAAGGCAUUGGUCAACUCCACCCUUAAAAACAAUACAAGAAGUCACAUGGAUUAAUUAACUGUAAGUGACAAAAUUAUGAUAACCUGAUUCGAGUUUCGAGUUUCGAGUCUUGCCAACAAAUGGCACUAAUUCCUUCAUGACUCCCUUUGACAUUAAAUUAAUCUCAAGAAACCUGACAACAUACCUGAAAGAGAUUAAUCACAUAUAGAACAAGUUUUAUUCCACCACAAGAACAUCAAUACUUAUCAUUACGAAGUCAAUUGCUUAAAAUAGAAAUACUUUACAUAAUGCAAAAGAACAAUACAUUCCUUUAAUUUAAAGACUAAAUUGUUCAAAUGUUUUCUUAAGUCAAACGGGUUCCUUUUCUUUUGUACCUUUCUUUCCGUAGUACAAGGCUCCUAAAACAUUAGCAUCAAAAUCGUGCAUUAGUCUUGUAAAUACCAAAUUAAAUAAAGGAAUUACCAAAAUUCUUUUCUUUCAAAAGAAACAUCUCCAAUACAUGCCAUACAUUAGCUUUGUAUAAGUUUCUUUUCUUCUCCCCUUAUGACACAUAAAAAUUUACUAAUCAAAGCACUGUUUAAAUUCUUUAGGCAUAGGGAAAAACCACAAACAAUAAUACAUGUUUGAAAAUUCUUGCUUACAAUUAAGCCCCAUACUUUGAAUGGAUUACAUACCUCAUGCCUUCAUAUGUUCAUCACUUCUUUGUAAACAUAUGUAUAAUCACAUGACCAACUAAAAUUCUCAUAUAAGAAUAGAUCAAAAUACAAAUGAGAAUUGUCACAUAAUUACAACAAACCUUAUUCAUUUGUAUAAUACCCUUGUUCUUGUCAUUGGAUGCUUUCUGUCAUUCUCAGUCAAUUCACAAAUUACACAUCAAUUUUUCACAAGUAACUAGUCAUGUAUAAUUUAAAUGACUUUUGAGAUAAGAAAGCAAAUUGUAGACAAACUUGAUUGAUUAGUCAUGCAUAUUUCUUGUGCUAUUAAUGGCGUAAAAGUUCAUUCACAUCUCGUGAAAAUUAGUGAAAACAACACUGCAAUUCACUAUAGUCCAAAACCCAUGGCAAUAUUAAAAAUAUGUUAUCUCAUGCUUGAACCAAAUUAGCCAUACAAGCAACACUAUACAUGCCAUUUGCUUAACAAUAUUAAAAUUUUGGUUCAAGCAAAUUAGUUACAAUUUAUCAUAUUCCACAGUCAUGGAAGAAAUUUUGUCACCGUACACAUCUUUGAAACAUAUCCGUGAUGCUAUAGAUGCAAUAACAAAAAAUUGCCAAAAUUUAUAUUUUUCUACUUUCAAAUAUAGACAUAUAUAAACUUAGCAUAUGCAUUCCUGCAACAUAACUUUAACAUAUGUUAUCACAAUCAUAGGCACAACAUAUCCUAAUAGUAUUGAUAAAUUAUAGAAUAUGACUAAUUCCGUCUCUUACAAUCAGUAAGACGUCACGACAUGGUUGGAUUGUGGGAACAAUAUAACACCUUAUGAAUCCUACAUAACCAUUCCUUAUAUAAUUUAUCAUGAAGACCAAAAGGAAAGAUCAUACCAGAAUUUCAUAUACCGAUGUAAUACGAACCUCUUCAUUGGGCUUGUUCGACUGAAGAAUCUCAAGAAAUUCUCCAAUGCAAGGUUAGAACAAGUGUUAAUACCCGUGUGUGGCCGUUGUGCUGUCCACCUUGGACGCACAUAACAUAAGAGGUCUAUCACGAGGUAAUAUAAUAAAGCCCGCCUUGAAGCCCUUGAGGUGAUAGGCUGCAGCUGUUGAUUGUGUACAAAAAGAACCCUAACCUUCAUGGCUUCAACUUAUACAAUAGUAGUACAUGGUCAACCAAAAUAUUAGCAUUAAUAUUGAAAUAAAAACUCUGAAAUAUUCCAUAGUUAGAGACUUGAAGCAAUUGACAUGAAUAUUCAUGUAGAAUAGUUAAGAGUGAUAUGGCAAUCAAAACAACAUGUAAUCACAGGGUCAUGAUGCAGGCUCAGAUUUUAUAAACUUUACGCCCCAUAUGCAGAAAAGCCAACUUUUACAAUAAAAUCAUUGCAUACUUGCAAUGGGUUCCAAACCUAACCCACUCUCCUUCUUUAAAAUUGAAGGACUCAACACUGCAUAAUUUUCUUGGAAUAAGCCGUUAGGAAUUGUUGCAUGCAAAAGAGAUCCCAAUUCUGUAGAAUAUUUUAGGACUAUAACUGAUUUGGAGCAUAUAUACAAGUCUAAAUCAUAUCACAAAUCAAUAGCAAGGUACAAUUCUUAAUUAUUAAUGUGCCAAAACCUCAUACAUAAUGGUUUUAGUUGAAACUAUCAUGAAUUAUCAAAGCCAAAUUCAAUUGGUUGCAAGAGAGGCAUGCGGUCCCAAGAAGUAGGUCAUAACGACAAUAUAUUAAUUAUACAAUUGCUCAAGAAUUAUCACUGCAGUGUAUGCUGCACUCACGGCAAUUGGAGGGAUGUGAGUUGACAAAUUGCACAAAAUUUCAAGACAAUUGUAUGUACUCUCAACGCAUUGCUUAAAAAUUUAAAUCUCAGUUCAUCAAUUUUCUCGACAACUUUAAUCAAACUUCAAUCUUAAAAGGUUUUAAUUAUAUAACCAAUGGCUCUGAUACCAAUUGUUAGCCUCAUAAGGUUAUACAAUUAAAACACAAACGAAGAAGUGACUGACCUGAUUCCAAUGGUAGUUAUUGAAGAUGUAGCAGCCAUGCAAGCAAGACGUGAUCGAUAAAACUCCAAUCUUUAUGUUUGCCGUGACAAACAGAAACACCAACUCUUCUGUAAACUCCUAGCUUUAUGACAAUGCUCUAUGGGAAGCCUUAGUUGUCGUGUCUAGGGUUAGCAGGGACCGGUGUUUGUAUACUAGCCAAAAAGUCUUAGAUUCCGUCCAUAAGGGAAAACUAAAACUCUCAUUUCUUGGCUCUCAAGUAAAAUAAUUUCUUUAGGAGAUUAAACCACAAUUAACAUUAUUCUCCAAUAUUACAUUCCUAUUACAUGUAGUAGACCACUUAAGGUUGAUUUAUAUUGGAUUAAUCCAAUAGGUAAUUAUUUGGAGCUUAUGCAAUUUCUUGCCGAUCAUAAUGAGAAAGUUAGAACGGUUGUGUAUGAGAAUACUCCCAAGAAUCGUAAGGAUACUUCUUUCAAUAUUCAAAAAGAUCUUGUCUAUGCUUGUGCAGUUGAAACUAUUGAUGCAAUCACUUAAGAUAUGGAAGGUACAUUAUUUUCUCUUUUGGUUGAUGGAUCAUGUGAUGUUUCAACUAAAGAGAAAAUGACGGUGGUAUUGCGUUAUGUGAACAAAAUAGAAGAAGUAAUAGAAAAGUUUUUGGGUGUGCAACAUGUCUCAUCUACAACUAGUAGCUCGCUUGGAGGCCAUUAAGAGAUUAUUUGCUACAAAAAAUUUGAGUAUGUCCAAAUUACGGGGAUAAGACCAUGAUGCAACUAGUAGUAUGAAAGGUGAGCUAAAAUACCUUAAAACAAAGAUUCUGAACAAGUAUCUUCGAGCAUUUUAUGUUCAUUGUUUUGUACACCAACUUCAACUAGCUCUUGUAGUCGUUGCAAAAAGAAGUGAGGGCGUUGUCAUUUUCUUCAACAAUGCUAAUAUUUUGGUCAAUACUAUUGGAUCAUCAUGUAAGCGUCGUAAUGCAUUGAGAGAGAAACAAGAAGAACAAAUUAAGAAAGCUCUUGAUUUUGGUGAUCUUGAAAUGAGUAAAGGGUUAUAUCAAGAGAAUAGUCUCAUGCGUCCUUGUGAUACAUGGUGGAACUUACAUUAUGGUAUUAUAGUUAGUAUUAUUGUUAUGUUUUGAAGUCAUGGAAUUGAAUGAUCGCUUCAAUAAGGUAAACAUCGAGUUGCUUCUUUGUAUGACAUGUUUAAGUCCAGUGAAUAAUUUUGCAUCUUUUGACAAAACAAAAAUUGUUCGUUUAGUCUAACUUUAUUCUCAAGAUUUUGAUCGUAUGAACCUCAUGAAUCUUUCAUUUCAACUUGAUAAUUACAUUCAUGAUAUGAAGAUGCAUAGUGAGACUCAUUAUUGAGAGAAAGUAGUGAUCUUGCAAAGGAGUAGGUGAAGACCAGGAGGCAUGCAAGCUAUAUGUUAGUGCUUAAGCUUUUUACAAUGACUGUGGUGUUACCAACUACAACCGCUUUGAUGGAGAGAACUUUUUCUACUUUGAAGAUUUUGAAACCACCAUUGCAUAAAAUUGUGAAAACACAAUUUUCAUAGCAAAAGAAGCUUUUUCCACCAAAGUGUUUACAACCGGUAACAUCAAAACCAAUGUAAAAAGCUUAUACACUUAUAGCUUGCACACCUUUCGGUCUUAAUCAACUCCUUUGAAAUAUCACUAAUUCCUCUCAAUGAUGAAUACUCACCAUGCAUCUUCAUAUCAUGAAUGUAAUUUUCAAGUUGAAUUGGAAGAUUCAUGAGGUCCAUAUGAUUAAUAUCUUGAGGAUAAAGUUGGACUAAACGAAUAAGUUUUGCUUUAUCAAAUAAUGCAAAAUUAUUUAUCAGACUCAAACAUACCAUACAAAAAGAAACUUAAUACUUCUCUUAUUGAAGUGAUCAUUCAAUUCCUUUAGUUGCAUAUCAGGAACUUGAAAAUAAAGGUCCACAAGAUGGUAAUGGAAGUUUAUGAGUUUUACACCUUGAUUUCUAGGUACGAAAUGCAAAUUCUCCUUGUUAAGAGCGAUAAUAUCAUGCUCUUCACCAAAAUUUCGUACAUUAUCAAGCAAGUCCCCAAAGUCAUCAUUUCUCAAAGAUUGUAGUAUUUACUUGCAUACUUCUACUAGUGCCAUUGCAUUCACAAUAUAUUGAUCUUUCUUUUGUAAUGUUUGUGAUAACUCAUUUGUAAUUCCUAAUAUGAUUCUCCCCAAAAAAGGUGAAACACAAAAUCAAAAGUUUGUACGUCAUGAAAUAACUUGCUUCACUGAAAUUGUCUUAGUUGUCAUCAUCUUUAAUCCAUUCAAGCACAUCCACCACGGCUCCAAACAUAAAAAUAAUACAAUAAUACUAACUAUAGUACCAUAAUGUGAGUUCCACCAUGUAUCAUAAGGAUGCAUGAGUAUUCUCUUUAUUGAACCGUCUUCCCAUUUCAAGAUCAUCAAUAUCAAGAACUUUCUUAAUUUGUUAUUGUUGUUUCUCUCUAAAUGCAUCACGACUUACACAAUGAUCCCAUAAUAUUGACCAAAAUACUAGUGUUGAAGAAAAUGGCAACACCCUCACUUCCUUUUGCAACGGCUAAAGAGCUAAUUAAAGCUAGUGUGCAAAACAACGAACAUAAAAUACUUGAGGAUACUUGUUCAAAAUCUUUGUUAUAAGGUCGUUUAGCUCACAUUUCAUAUUACUAACUCCAUUAUAGCCUUAUCCCCGUAAUUUGGACAUACUCAAAUUUGUUGUAGCAAAUAUCUCUCAAUAGCCUCUCCAAGCGAACUAUUAGUUGUAGAUGAGGCAUGUUGUACAUCCAAAAAUCUUGCAAUUGCUUCUCUUUUUUUGUUCACAUAACGCAAUACCAUCGUCAUUUGCUCUUUAGUUGAAACAUAAUGUGAUCCAUCAACCAAAAGAGAAAAAAAAUAUACCUUCCAUAUUUUAAGUGAUUGCAUUAAUGGUUUCAACUACACAAUGAUUAUUGGAAGAAGUAUCCAUAACAUUCUUGAGAUAAGAUCUUUUUGAAUAUCGGAAGAAGUAUCCUUAACAUUCGUGGGAGCAUUCUUAAACACAACCUUUCUAAAUUUCUCAUUAUGAUCGACAAGAAAUUACAUAAGCACCAAAUAAUUACACCUAUUGCUUGAUUUCAACAAUUCAUCAUGACCACGAAAAGGUAAACCUUGUCUGAACAACCAUCUUGUGCACUCAAGUGAGGCACUCAAUAAAGUGUGAUAAUUAAUGCAAGCUUCAUUGGUUUGCUUAAUCACAAAUGUUUCAAUGUGUUGCUUUUGUGUCAUCAAAUAUCUAGCUUGUUGUACAACUUUAUUAUGAAGACUUCCAACACCUUCUUCAUGAACUCAAAAAAUUUUGGGUCAUUUCUUCUAAUUUAUAAAUCCUUUUUCAGUGAAGGCAUCACUUCCAAUACCCUUUUUAUCAAAAUCACAUUUGAAAAGAUAGCAAUAACAAAAAAAUGCAUCAUCUUUUACCAUUUAUACUCCAACCACUUAAAAUUAUCAAACCAACCGGUGAUAAAACAUCAAUUGUUGUUAGUUUUUCUUAACAUGAUGUGGUGUUUAGUUUGACAAUGAUUAUUUUGGAGAUAGGGUCUAUGAAAUGCUUUGUUUAUACUAUACUUAGGGCCUCCGUAUUUAGAUCUCGUAUAAAUACUCGGGGGACUCAAGUGUAAUUAUGUAAUAAAUGGAGGGAUAAAUAUGUAAUAAGUGAGAAGCCCUUAUUCUAUAAAAGGACCCCUCACUCUCCUCAUUAAGGGAGGCCAAUUCUUAAGCCAUACCCUCACCCUCUCAAAGCUCUCAUCCUCACAGAGAAGCUCUCUCUCUCCCUCUUCAACAUCUCAAAGAAAUACAAUAAUUAGUGUGGACGUAGCCCAAACAUUGGGGUGAACCACGAUACAUCUUGUGUUAUUUACUUUCUUACAGAUUCACGGUCGGGUUUACGUUGUUCCAAGACCCCUCCGGUUUUGUACAUCAACAUUUGGCAUCGUCUGUGGGAAUCGACACCAAAAGCUAUGUCGGUCUUCUUUCAAUUUUUCAUCUCACCACCAUGAGACCUCACCACAUUCCAUCGUGAAUAUGCAGAAACCCAGAACCUCCUCCUUGGGCUUUUCCAGAAAACCCCCAUAAACACAAAGUCGUCCCUCCUUCACUUUCUCUCUCUAAAAACUCCAGAUUCAGAAAAGCUCUCUCUAAACUAAGCUCUUUCUCUAGAAUAUGCAGUAUGCUAAGGCUCUCUCUCUCUACCUCUGAACUCAUGCCUUUCCCCAUAACCCACCAAAACAAAGGAGACAGAAACUGAAAAAGAGAAAGCGCACAGCCCAUCGCCAAUCCAAAACUGCUUCUUAUCGUCGUCUUCUCGGCUGUGCUUGGUCUCUAUGAGACAGCAGAGCUCUUCCUGUCCUUGUUUGUUUUCCUCCUUGAAGUUCAGUGCCAUGGCAGAGCUGGUGAAGGACACGAAGCCGUUAUCUUUGUCGCCCAUUCAAAGUGCAGAGAGGACGGAAAACCUCAUCUCUUUCUCCCCUCACUUUUCCAGGAGAAUCGAAGCACCAAAACCUCAACCCUCAGAGAGCGCAACAAUGGUAAGCUCAGCCAUGGUGUUGAUUCCGAAGUCCUUGCCGGAGCCACCGACAUCGAUCCAUCUCCACCCUGAACCGCUGUCUGAGCUGGAGCUGCAUCACAAACAAAGCUCAUUCGAUUUGCAGACUGGAAGAGCAGAGCUCAUCAGUAAGCAUAUGAUCGCUCCUCACUGAAUUAUUUCUCAGCUCGUAGAAAGAAGAAGGUAUGGGUGUGUCUGAGAAGAAAACUAGCGAGGCCGCAUUUGAUGUGUCAUUCCUCAACAUUGAGAAUUUGCAAAGUAACAUGAAAGUCAAUUCGACCCCGAAGCUAUGGGGGAAGGAGAUGGACAUACUUGUAAAGGUGUUUUCGAGGGGGAAAGAAAACCGGCGCCGCUUCAAUGGACAUCGCCAAAGAUCCCGUCUCAGAUCUGCCUCAAGUAAUGGACACAUCAGAGUCUGAAGCUCAUAACCCAAGUGCUGCUGCUUCCAAUUUGAUUGAGUCAGCCCAAGCUUACGACAUGGAGGCUCGAGCUUACGACCUAUCUGAGAAAACCAAACACUCAUCUUACUUGUUCCUUUUUCACUUCUUCUUCUUCCUUUCGUUUCAUAUUUUACUGUGUUUUGGCAGAGAUUUUUAGAGCCUGCUGCUCUCUGAGUUAGGUCAUUUGGUAAUUUCUUGUUAAGUGGAAGGGAUUCGGAGAGGUUCUUUUCCUUCAUUCCAAUUCCCUUUCUUCCUUAUUAUCAACUUCCUCGAUGAGAGUUGCAAAAAAGACAAUGAAAUCAGUUCAGAAACCAUUGCAAAUCAUCUCCUGUGCCUCAAAAUUCACAACCACACCGUUCUCAUUUUCCAUCUCCUCUUCAACUUCUGAGUCAAUCACUGCACCAAAACCAACCAAACAACCCCAACUUGAAGGCCUAACCCAAGAAGAUCUCACAAAGAUCAACCUCUUCUUCUUGCGCAUCUGCCUCUUGAACCACUUCGACACAACAACCCACCUCGCCAUCAUCGCCCUGCUCGCAAACCCACCUCUCGAAUCCGUCUUUCUCUCUGUCUCUCUCUCCGUCCUCAUCCAUUCCUUCACUUCCCAACCCGACCUGGCCCGACCCAUGUUACUAUUGACCCGCCUCAGGCACAACCUGCAUUCGCAUACUCACCUUAUGCCCAUCGCAACCAUGGUUAUUGCCUCAUACUUUAAGAAAAAUAGAUCCAGAGAGGCAUUCAAGAUGUUUAGCUGGUUGGUGAGGCUAGGGUCCCAGUGUGUGCUCGAUGAGAGAGUUUGUGAGGUUUUGGUUAAUGGGUUUUGUAGGAAAUGGAUGGUUUGUGAGGGUUUAAAGAUUCUGAGGGCAAUGUUGGGUGUAAAUAUCGUGCCGGGAGGCGAUGGGGGGAAGUGGGUUUAUAGGGGAUUAUUGAGGGAGGCUAGGAUUAAGGAGGCAGUGGAGUUGAAUGAGGUUUUAGGGUGUGGUAGGGUUGGGGCGAAUGGUGAUGAAUCAGAGGGUGUGAAGAAGGUUUUGGCUUUGUUGGAUCACAUGAUUUUCAGUUGUACAAACUAAAGCAGUGACUUGGAAUUGUGUUCUCCUCCAAUAUGCAACAUUUGUUAUGUGGUUUACAUGUCUUGAUCGUUGAUGUUAUCCUUCGCUUCUCCAAAGGAUAUAUCUUUCCUAUCGUUGACGUUAUCCUUCGCUCGUCGAUUUGGAAUAUUGUGAAGCCACUAUUCGACCCACCAGAAAGGAGCAGCAAAGAUAAAGAAUGUCAGGAGAUAUGAUGCUGAUCACAAUGUUCUCAAAGUCACAGAUACAGGGUGGGCUUCACGUGGAGGUUAAGAUAAAGUUGCAGCUUUUGGUGCGAUGGGGUCUCUGAUCUGACUCCAUUGGUUCUACUCAUUCCUCUCGGCACAGAGACACAAUAAAGAUUAAUUGGGUGCACAUGCAUGACAGCAACUCACAAACAGACAAAAAAUGAGAUGUGGUGGAAAAGAGAAAAGAAGAAACAGAAACAAAAGCAAAAGCAGAGAUAAGAUUCUUUUCUUAUUAUUAAUUCUAUUAAUCAUUCCUUGUCUGCCAUCUGCAAAAGGGAAAAGAAAAAGAAAAAGCAGAAAGUAAAAGCAGAAAGCAAAAGAAGAUAAAAAGAAACAGACAUAAUUGCGGCGGUGAUGGCAUGCAGAAGAGGGAAUUAUAGGCGUGACCCAUUGAGCAGAGGGUCAGAUUUAUUUUUGAAUGAUGUAAUUUAUUUUCCUUAUCUUUUGGAGAUAUUUGUAUAACCCCAUCAGAGGGUAAAAAAAAAACGGCAAGCCCAAAAUAAUGGGUUGGAAUGUCAUGUGGAGGGCGAAUGCCCAUAUGCCCAAAAGAGCCCGGCCUUCUAUUAUCACCAACCAAGUGAUCAAAAGUACGCCCAGUACUCCAAAAAUUAUUCGGCAGUCUGCCGCUAUUAUCACCAACCAAGUGAUCAAAAGUACGCCUAGUACUCCAAAAUUAUUCGGCAGCCUACCGUUAUUAUCACUAACCAGGUGGUCAAAAGUACGCCCAGUACUUCAAAUUAUACAUGAGCAUUAUUCAUGUCAAUCAUACAUGAACAUUCAUUAGCAUUACUCAUGUCUAUCAUACAUAAACAUUCAUGAGCAUCACUCAUAUCAAUCAUACAUAAACAUUCAUGAGCAUCAUUCAUGUCAACUUUCAUGAGCAUCACUCAUGUCAACAUCCAUGAGCAUCACUCAUGUCAAUCAACAUAAACAUUCAUGAGCAUCACUCAUGUCAAUCAGCUUCAAAAGCUUCAUUUACAGAGCUCUAGCUUCAAAAGCUUCAUUUACAAAAGCUCCAGCUUCGAAAACUUUAUUUACAGAGCUCUAGCUUCAAAAGCUUCAUUUACAGAGCUCUAGCUUCAAAGCUUCAACUUGCAAAGCUUCACCUACAAAGCUUAAGUGCAGGAUAUAUAAAUACCGCAUCCGAACAACCGCCACUUCGGCCCAUAAAUGGAUUCAAUUUGAAGUCUCCAGCCAACAGACUCUAUUGACCGAAGACUUGGGGGACUACAUUAUGUACCAUAUAUUGGGCCUCAACUGGGCUUCAUGAAAAAUACUUGGGGGACUUAGCCCAUUAUCCAUGUAUUGAAGAGCGAGCCCUUAUUCUAUAAAAGAGACCCCCUCACUUUCAUUAGAGAGCACCCAUUAUUCAUGUACUGAGGAGCGAGCCCUUAUUUUAUAAAAGAGACUCCCUCACCUUCAUUAGAGAGCAUUGCCGCCUGCUGAGCAACCGUCUCGCUACGAGCAUCACUCCUAACCCAUUAUUCAUGUACUGAGGAGUAAGCCUUUAUUUUAUAAAAAUGAAUCCCUCACUUUCAUUAGAGAGCACCCAUUAUUCAUGUACUGAGGAGCGAGCCCUUAUUUUUAUAAAAGGGACUCCCUCACCAUCAUUAGAGAGCAUCGCUGCCUACUGAGCAACUGCCUCACCGCGAGCAUCAACUUUAGCCCAUCAUUUAUGUAUUGAGGAGCGAACCCUUAUUCUAUAAAAGGGACUCCCUCACCUUCAACGCCACAAGCCGAGCCGACCAAGGUAACAUAAGCCACAAGCCGAGCAGCCUCGCAACAUGUGCUACUUAUAGUUGAGCAUCAUUUCACUUUGAGCACCGCCUCAUAUCAAGUAUCAAUUCAAGAUGACAUCUAGUUACUUCGGCCCACACAUGGACUAAAUUUCAAAUCUCCAGCCAAAAGACUCUCCUGACUGAAGACUUGGGGGACUACUGUUUGUAUCAUACUUAGGGUCUCCGUAUUUAGAUCUCGUAUAAAUACUUGGGGGACUCAAGUGUAAUUAUGUAAUAAAUGGAGGGGUAAAUAUGUAAUAAGUGAAGAGCCCUUAUUCUAUAAAAGGACCCCUUACUCUCCUCAUUAACGGAGGCUAAUUCUUAGGCCAUACCCUCACCUUCUCAGAGCUCUCAUCCUCACUAAGAAGCUUUCUCUCCCUUUUCAACAUCUCAGAGAAAUACAAUAAUCAGUGUGGACGUAGCCUAAACAUUGGGGUGAACCACAAUACAUCUUGUGUUAUUUACUUUCUUGCAAAUUCACGGUCGGGUUUAUGUUGUUCCAAGACCCUUCCGGUUUUGUGCAUCAACAUGCUUCAUGAUAAUUAGGUGGAUAAUCAAGCAUUCGACGUCUAUGUCUAGGGUCUUCGUGAAGAAUAUAUAAUAUUUCAUCCAGCUCAUUGCCCUCACUUUGUUGUGAACUACAAGGAAUAUUCAAAUAAGGACUUCUUGGAAUAUUUGGAGGAGGACUACUCAGAAUAUUUGAAGAAGGAGGAGGACUAUAUGAAUAAUCAUAUACAUUAUUCAAUAAUUCAAUUAAUAAAAUCAAUAAUCAAGAAUUCAAUUUUUACCCUAAACAAUAAUUUUAUUCACCAAUAAUCAUAGAUUUCAUAUCAACAAUCAAUAACCAAUAACCAUAUUAGUGUACCACCAUAUGAUUAUAUUUCUAUACUACACCAAUUAAACAAAAAUUCGUAUUAAAUAAUUAAUUAGGGUUGGGGACUAUAGAUUAGAAAUUAAAAUAUUUACCUAAAAUUGGGGAGUGGCUUCAAGGUUGGAAGCUAGAGUGGCUUGAAGGCUGGCUACGGCUGGAAUGGCUAAAGGCUGACUGCAAUUAGACUGGCUUGAAGGUUGCAAAGGGGCUAAACAGGCUUGGGGAUUCCAUUGUUGAGAGAUAGGGGCAACAACACACAUUGUUGCUCUUUGAUUGGAAACUGAAGAAAGGAACGGGAUUGGAUGAAGGAAAUGGGGGAUAAUGGUCCCCUUAUAUUUAUUUAUUUUUUCUUCAAACCAUUAAACAAAACGGUGUCGUUUCAUUAGGAAUUUUUAAAAAAAAAUUCACCCGGACCAAAACAACAUUGUUUUGGCUUGGAUUUGAGAAAAAAAAUUUUAAAAAAUUAAACCUAGCUCUAUUGCACAGUAGUAGAACCAGAUCACUGGUUAGCCCAAGCGGGAUUUCUUAAUUCCAAGUUACUUCUGCUGAAGUGUGAGCCAAGCAGGAUACUCUGCUUCUGUUGAGGAUCGAGCAACAGUUGGUUGCUUCUUAGCACUCCAACUAAUUAGAUUAGAACCCAGAAAGAUGCAAUAGCCACUAGUAGACCUACUAUCAAAUUAUGCAAUAAGAUCAAUAACACCUUUCUUGAACCAUAAACCAUGUUUGACUGACCCUUUAAGAAAUCUGAGUAUGUGUUUAGCAACUUAAAGGUGAAGUUCUCUAGGAGCAUGUAUAAACUAGCAUACUUGAUUGACAACAAAUGAGAUAUCAGGGCGUGUCCAAGUUAGGUACUAUAAAGCGCCAACAAUUGACCAAUAUGCAGUAACAUUGGUGAGAAGUGGACCUAAGUGAUUAAGCUUUUGUAUACUUAAAGGAGUGGAACAUAGUUUAGCACCCUCCAUGUUAGUCUUUUGAAGUAAGUCAAGUAAAUACUUGCUUUGAUGAAGAAAAAUGACCUUAGAAGACCCUUGAACCUCAAAACCCAAGAAAUAGUGCAUAUGGUCUAUAUCUUUAACAAGAAAGACUAUACCUAUAUUUUGAAUGAAGUGUUGACAAAGAGAAGGAUUAGGUCUUGUCACAAGUAUGUCGUCGACAUACACUAGAACGAUGAUUGGAAUAGAUGCCUUAAGAACAAAAAGUGAUGCAUCAGAUGAGGAUUGAGUGAAGCCAAAAGACUGCAAGGCUUGAAAAUGCUUAUCAAACCAAGAAGCUUGUUUUAACCCAUAAAGUGACUUUUGAGCUUACAAACAUGAGUAGUGUAAUUUGAAUCACAAAAUCAAGGUCGUUGAUGCAUAAAAAAAACCUCCUCUUUAAGGCCUCCACGAAGAAAUGCAUUGGUGAUGUCUAAUUGGUUGAGAAACCAAUUGUAUUGAACUGCUAAUGAUAAUAAAAUUCUGAUGGUUACUGGCUUAGCAACUGGACUAAAGGUUUCCUUGAAAUCAAAGCCUUCAUGUUGAUGAAACCCCUUGGCUACAAGCCAAGCCUUGUACUUAUCAAUGAACCAUCAGGAUUUUCCUUGAUCCGAAAUACCCAUUUACAACAAACUAUGUUUUCAUGAGGACUAGAAGGAACCAAUGUCCAAGUACCUGUAGAUUGCAGAGCAUUGAACUCAGCUUGCAUUAUAGAUCUCCAAUGUGAAUACUUUGAAGCUUGAAGAUAGGUUGUAGGAACAAAGUCUAUAGAAUUUGGAAGUGGGUGCGUGGUAGCUAAGUAAGCUUUAGGUUUAGAAAUGCAUGCUUUCGAUCUUGUUACCAUAGAAUGAAUAUUAGUGCACUACUACAAUAUUAGCUUUAGGUGUCGGAUGAUGGUGGCGGUUUAAUAAGACAUUAUGUCGGAUAAAAGAUAUCCGACACAUCAUUCAGUUUGUGUCGCAUAACAAUGAAAUCCUAUCGGUUAUAUCCGGCAUAAAUUCCUGGCGCAUUUUUAGUGUCGAAUGCAACCACCAUAAAAUUAUUAUAACCACCAGUAUUAUUGAAUUUUUUUUAAAAUAUUUUUAACAUAUUCCGAUGGUUUUUAAGUUAAUGGUGGCGGUUAUAACCGACAGAAAUUGACUAUUUUAUUAUUUUAGUAUUCUGACAAUUCUAACCGACAGAAAUUGACUAUUUUAUUAUUUUAAAAUGUUAUAUUGAUUAAAAAUAAAUAAACACAUGGUUUAAAUAAUUUUGUUUCACUCAUCGCCCUGUCGGAUAUAACCUACACGAACAAAGCAAAAUUUUGGGCGACUGCCAGAAUAAUCUCUAAAUGUUUUUUUCUCACUCAUGGUCUUGUUACCUAAGCUCUGAAUGUCUUUUUUUUUUUUUUUUUUUUUUUUUUUUUGCGAUUUCUUACACAUGCUAUCUCGGAGUGUAUACAAAAAUAUUUGACGGUUGAUCGUUAAAACUAGUUUCGUAGAAUGCAUAACCUAUCAAAUUGAUAGAUUUAACAAACACUUACAAGUUAAUGUUAUACCUCCAUUAAGUAUAAAAUAAGAUUUAUCCACUAGUGUAAAUAUUUUAAACUGAAGAUCGAAUUCGUUCAUUGCAUUCUUAUAGGGUCGAGGAGUAUAGUUGUAAAAAAUCAUGAAAAUUGGAGCUAAAAUAACCGUUAAAUUGUGAUUUUCCGUUUAUAACCAUUGAAAACUUUUGUUCUGUUAUCUAAUCUCUGAAUGUUUAUUUUUUUGCGAUUUUUUAUGAAUGCGAUCUCGGAAUGUGUACAAACAAGUUUGACAGUUGGAUCGUUGAAAAACAUUUUGUAGAAUGCGUAUUGCAUCAAAACGGUAUAUUAAAUGAACACUUAGAGUUAAUGUUGCAUUUCCCCAUCAAGUAUAAAAUACGAUUUUGUGGUAUCCAUUAGUGUAAAUAUUUUCAAUUGAAGAUCAAAUUCGUUCAAUGCAUUCUUAUAGGGUUAAGAAGUGUAGUUGUAAAAAAUCAUCAAAAUCGGAGCUAAAAUAACCGUUAAAUUGUGAUUUUUCGUUUAUAACUGUCGAAAACUUUUGCUCUGUUACCUAAUCUCUGAAUAUUUAUUUCUUGUGAUUUUUUACGUAUGCUAUCUUGGAGUGUGUACAAACAACUUUGACGGUUAGAUCAUUGAAAAAAGUUUUGUAGAGUGUGUAUCGCGUCAAAACGGUAGAUUAAAUAAACACUUAAGAGUUAACAUUAUACUUCCAUUAAGUAUAAAAUAAGAUUAGUGUAAAUAUUUUAAAUUGAAGAUCAAAUUUAUUCAUUGCAUUCUUAUAGGGUUGAGGAGUGUAGCUGUAAAAAUCAUUAAAAUCGGAGCUAAAAUAACCAUUAAAUUGUGAUUUUUCGUUUAUAACCGUCGAAAACUUUUGUUCCAUUAUGUAAUCUCUGAAUGUUUGUUUUUUAUGAUUUUUUAUGUAUACAAUCUGAUAGAAGCAUAUUUAUGCGACUUAGUUAGCUCGUUCUUGUGCAUUUAUGUUGUUAUUUCUUAGUCAAUUAUGUAUUUUAAGCUAUUUUUGUGUGUUUGUAGAUCCUAAUAACAAAGUUGGCAAGAAAGUGCAUUUUGGUGCAUUUUGGAGCAAUUUUGGGCUGAAAUAGAUUGCAUGCAUACAGAGCAAAGUGGUUGGACGAAAUUAAAGAUCUAAAGAAGCUAGGAAUGUGCCAAGGAAAGGAAGAAAAUAAAUUGAGGACCAAGGAAGACAAGGAAACCAUUAAGAAUUAGGAAAGACUAGUCAAACUUGCCUUAUCUUGUCGUUACCUUUCCUAAUCCUAAAUUACCAAAGAUUUGGUCACACGAAGGGUUCCUAAAUACUUUGGGACAUUUCAUUACAUAUUCUACAAGUCCUAAACCUGUCUUAAAAGUCCAAGCCAUACCAUCCUUCACCAUUUAUCUUCCUUGUCGUGCAAGGGAGCCAUUCCUUUCCUAUUUUCUGCCAUAAAUCACUCCAUGACAUGCACAUUCAUCCAUGUUCCCUCCUUGCACUCAUUUGCUGCACCAUUCCACUUCUUUUUCUUUGUCUACCAUGUGCACAAUAUCCUUUCACCUCCUUGCACUCAUCGAAUCACCACUUACUCACAUUUCCACCCAUGCCAUGCAUAAUCAACCUUGUCCCUUUCAUGCACCCUCAUGUCAUACACCAUUACACUCAUUAUCCACCCAUGCCAUGCACCACCCUUUUCUCCUUCAUUAUUUCUGAUUUCAUGCAUCAAAACAUUGAAUCAUUGCACUCAAUUGCUGCACAUUUCUUGUCCCCUUCACCCAUCAGAUUUCAUACAACUUUUACCUCCACUACAUGCACUCAUUGAUGCACCAUCCAUCACAUUUGGAAUCCCAUGCCGUGCAUCAUGAGUCUUGCUGCACCUUUGACUCAUUUCUGCACCAUUCCACCUCCCUUUCCUUUCUCUACCAUGUGCACAAUCAUUCAUGUUCCCCACUUGCAUUCAUAGCUGCAAAACCACUCCAUUUUACCCCCCAUGCUUUGCAUCAUCACUUCACUUUCACCUUUGAAUCAUUUUAACACCACUCCAUGUACUCAUUGCUGCAACACCACUCCAUUUUACCCCCAUGCUUUGCAUCAUUACUUCAUUUUCACCCUUGAAUCAUUGCACACACCACCAUUUUUCCCCUCCUUGCCGUGCACUUCCUCUAUAAAAGGAAGUGUGUGUGGUAGCCAUAUAGUUUAGUUUUUGCUUGAUCAUUCAUCCCCAUUUUAAUACAACCUUCAUCCAAACACAUCCAUUCAUCUUUACAUCCAUUCCUCUAUACAAACAAACCUUCAAACACUCACCAACACCUUGUGCCGUAGCAAAGGAAGGGAAGGAAAGUGCUUGGACGUGCUUGCUGUCCAACUUGGAUCGUUGGAGCAUUUAGGUGUUUUCUUUCUUUUGUUUCCAAUGUUUAAAUUCAUGUUCUUUCGUUUUGUUGUGAAUAUGAGUGGCUAAACCCCUCUUAGCUAGGGGCGAUUUCAAAGCCAUGAUUAUGCGUGUAAUAUGAUUUGAUAAAUUCCAGUUAUGAACUCUUGAAUCGUGAAUGCAAUUGGCUUAACUAUUUGUAUUUGUUGAUUAAGGGUCGACACUUAAUUAGCAUGCAUAAAUCCGAUGCUAGAAUAUAAGAAAGUUUCACAUAAUCGUUACAAACUUAUAUUCAUAAGUAGUGGAGGUCGCUUAUAAACGAUCGCGUUAAGUUCAAUUCCUAGCAUGAGUGACAUGAUGUCAUAGUUGCAAGUGCUUUGUCAAUGUUUAUGAUUUUCAUUAAACGUAAUGAUCUUUGAUUGUAUCUCUAUUAUGAUGUCAUGUAGGGAACUUUUGAAGAAUGUUUUGGGUUGUCGAAUGAUGUCAUCCAAUCCCAUAAAAUAAGGAAAAUAUGAGAGUUAACUAGUGAUGUCAUGGUUAAUUUGGAGUAUUGUCGUUCAUAAUUCAAUGAAGUAGUAACUGGAAAUCGAAUUAUUUGCAUACAUGUCAUGUGUGGAGAAAAAGCCUCUAGCUAUCUCAUCCAUCAUCUUAUUUCUCACAUUCGUCUUACAAUCUGUCUAGUUUUUCAUACUUCAUCCAAACCAAAACCCCCCCUUUUAGUUUCUUGUUUCAAAGUGUUUCAAAUCUGUUUUAGUUUGUAUUUUUAAGUGUUUUGAUUCAAGUAAAAGUCAAUUUUCGUCCAAAGUCAUUCCUAGUGUCUAGUUUAAGUUUAUUUGGUUGUUUUAAGUUGUUUUGAGUAUUUAAAGUUUGCUUUGAGUCUUGUGAAUCUUGUUAAGUGUUUUUAAGUUUAGUUUUAUGUUUUUGAGUCAGUUUAGAGGUUAUUAGCAAGCCCUCAUAAUCCCCGGUCUAGAACGAUCCCUACUUGCAUUUAUACUACAAUUGUCAAAAGAUGGUUAAAUUUGUGUGUUAAGUUAAUUUUCGCAUCACAAUCUCGGAGUGUUUACAAAUAAGUUUGACGGUUGGAUCGUUGAAAAAAGUUUCAUAUAAUGCAUAUUGCGUCAAAAUGGUAGAUUAAACAAACAUUUAGAAUUAAUAUUAUACUUCCAUUAAGUAUAAAAUAAGAUUUUGUGGUAUCCACUAGUGUAAAUAUUUUAAAUUGAAGAUCAAUUUUAUUCAUUGCAUUCUUAUAGGGUUGAGGAGUGUAGCUGUAAAAAAUCAUUAAAAUCAGAGCUAAAAUAACCAUUAAAUUGUGAUUUUUUGUUUAUAAUCGUUGAAAACUUUUGUUCUGUUACGUAAUCUUUUAAUGUUUGUUUUUUACGAUUUUUUACGUAUGAAAUCUCAGAGUGUGUACAAAUAAGUUUGACGGUUGGAUCGUUGAAAAAAGUUUCAUAGAAUGCAUAUCGCAUCAAAACGUAGAUUAAACAAACACUUGGAGUUAAUAUUAUACUUCCAUUAAGGGGCUGCAAGCCCUUACUCCUAUCGAACAAGUAAACUGGAGAUUCCAAAGGUAAAACCCUCAAACUUCUUCGUGUUAGUCUCCAUGGCUUUACCAUAAUACAUGCAUGCUCAUGAAUCUGUAUUUUUGCAUUAUGCAUGUCUCCUGAUGAUGAAUGCCAAGGAAAAUUCGUGCAAAAAUCGAGAUCUAAACUUAGCUUGAGUACUAGUCUCCUCUAUGCUACUCGGUCCACCCCCAAACUUGUAUUGUAGUAUAUAUAUGUUUUUUUAAUUGAAAUGAGAGCGAAUGAGUGGAGUGGGUCCAAGUAGUACAGAAUCUUCUUUGCAAACCCACUGUAACGUUUCUCAAACUCCAGUUGACUUUCCUUUUAAAUUUCUGCACCGCAAUGUUGAUGUUGAAUGCAAAGCUGUGAUGAAUGGAUAGUUGAAAGCAUACUGAGGUGAAUAGAUGAAUGCUAAAAAAAAUGGAAACUUUAACGAAAAGCACCCGGUACUGUUCACUUUAACGAAAAACCAUAUUUUUACACUAAAAAGUCAAUCCUGGUACUAUUCACUUUACCCUUUAUUUUGUCCUUAUCAUUAAAACUCAAAGUUUUCAAGCCCUUUUCAUUAGUUUUCCUAAAAAAAAUCCAUUGAAUAAAGCUUGACUUGACAUGUGCUCAAGUUUAACUUCUUUAAUGCUCCUCGAAGAUUGACUACUUGUGUAAUACCCUGAAAAUUUAAAUAUAUGAAUUAUAUAUUCAUAAUUAUGAAAAUGCGGAGAAGAUUGAAAAAAUAAAUCGAUUUAUGGUUAUGAAGAUAGAAAUUAGGAAAUUUUUAAAGUUUUAAUUCUGGAAAUUAUUAUAAUGUAUGAAGUUUGAAAAUUUAUUAUUUAAAAUCCAUGAACCAAUCGAGGUCACAAUUUAUAUUUUUGAAUAGAGCUCGAUCUCACAAACCCCUGGGCGCAAACCAAGACCAAUCGAUCCCUCUUCUAUUUUUACACUUAAACCGACGAGGGAAGUUCAAUUUUAAGGAAAAUACCCACGGUGGGUGCGUCGGCCAUAGGUGGAGAUCCACCAAAUCUGUAACAUUUUUGCUCAAUCACCACCACCUUUAGUACCCUCUUGAGCUUAGGAACAAAGCCCAAACAAGUUUGGGGGAGUCAGAGUACGUUUGAGGUCGAAUCGAACACACCCAAAUUCAAGUGUUUCCGACGGUUCAAGGCAGUUUUCAAGUGUUUCCCGGCCAAAUUGGAUUUGACCACAUGUAUGAAAAUUGUUCCCCUCACUGAGAUCUAUUUGCCUGUAAAAUUUGGUAAUUUUUUAAAAUAGUUGAUCUUUUCCAGCAAUAUGGGGCGGCCAACCGCCACUAGCGGUAGCGUGUGGCCAGUGAGCCGAUGCCAUAUUUUUAAGCUAAUUUUAAUGUUUUGAAACCAUAUUUGAUAAGCAUUUGGUGUGGUUCACUUGUUUGAAACUAGACGGUGAUUGUUCGUCUCUUUUAGAAAAUUCAAAAUUUUAAUUGAAAUUGAAUUGGCGAACUACGAAUGGCUUGAUCCAUGUUUAGGGUACGUAGGUAGUCUAACGAGACCUUAGAUGCAGUCAUAAAAUAAAUGAGAUUAAAUAAUUCGAGACAAUAUCUUUGGUUGGGAAAUUGAGCUAAGUAAGGAAUAAUAAAAAUAAGAGAUUACCCUUAUGUUUUGGUGAGUAAAUUUUUGGGCAUAAAUAAGUUUGUGGAAACAUAAAACUUAAGUAGAGAAUUGUAAUUGUAGAUAGUUAACUAAAUAAAAUUUUAAUUUGGGCCUAUCAACAAAAUUAAUCCCCGAAAAUAAAUAUUUCGGGGCCGGGGCGUUACAAAAUGGUAUCAGAGCAAAUGAUCCUACUUUACAAUAUGCAAUAUUCUCAAAUUCUUGUUGGUGUGAAUUAUGAUAUGCAUUGUGGUUGCAUGAUUACAUAAUUUUUGUGAAUAAAGUGGCAUGCAUGUGACAAAUAUAUAUGUGAGAUACAUAUAGGAUUGGUCUUGUGUUGGUGGUGCAAUCUCCAUGGUGAUUAUGGCAUUCCUAUAGUAGGAAUUAUUAUUUGCAUUGAUAUUGCACUAUUUCAUAAGUUCUAUAAAGUGAAGGAAUUUAUGUGGAAUGUAUAUUGUGAAUUAUUAUGCGUUGAGUUGAAUUGAGUGAGAGUAGGAAAAUUUUAAAAUCAUAUUUAUGUUAUAGAUUUGAAGAUGAGCACUUGAUUAAAAUCCUGGAUUAAUCUUGAAGUGGAUUGAUAUUAUGUUAUAAACUAUGGAAAUUUAAAGAUGAUAGUGAAAUGGUGACCAAUAGAUGGAAAAGUCGUUUUAUACCUGGGCGAUUGAGGAAAUUGAAUUGGGCGAAAAAAAGGCCCGUGGAUGUGGAAUUGAGCGAAAAAGGCCCGUGAAUGUGAGAAUUGAAUGGGCACAAAGAGAAUGGAAAAAAAUGUAUUGGCAAAGUAUAUUACAAUCUUUUCCAGUUUACUAGCCACUGUUUGGGGCAAAAGGAAAAAGUGAUGAAAUCAUUGUUUUGUCAAUGAUAAGUACAGACAGAAAUUUUAAAAUAGUAUAACUAAUGAUUAUUACGGUUGGAAAUUUUAAUAUUUAUGAAAGUGAUGAUGGUUUAUGGAACGAGAAUAAAACCAUAAAAUCGAAGUUAUGGUUUGGUCAUUAUAAUUGGAAUGGUGGAAAGACCAUGGAGAUUCUUCCUUUUUGAAUUAAUGGUGAAAAAACAAAUUAUGGAAUGAGAUUUUGAAUUCAUUUAAUAUAAAUGAUUUCCUCAGUUGUGUUUUUAUGUUUGAUGGAAAGAAUGAAUGGGGAAAGCUUGUAAUUACAAAAUUUAUUGCUUUGGUUGCUAUAUUCAUGAGUCGUCGUUGUUGGAUUCGAUAUUAUGAACUGAACCAAUGAAGAACACAUAUUCUCAUGGCUAUGCGAUUAACAAGGUUUAGUUGUGUUGGCCAAUUGAAUUGUGAUAUAUAUAUAUAUAUAUGUAUAUUAUCUUCUUUGGUUAAUAGAAUGCGAAUGGUGCUUUAGAAGUGUGAGUUGCUAAUUUAUGUUAUUUGUGGCUGGGAAUCUAUGAAUGUGGGUGGAAAUCACGAUGAUUUAUUCGUUGAUUUCUUUAUUUUGAGUUUGAAUAAACUCGUAGAAUGAUUUUAUAACUUUAUUCAUUAUAAAAGGAAUGGUGGGAGUAGUUCAAAUCACUUCUUGUAAAUCGAUGGUAGAAAUCUUUGUUUUGCCAAAGAUGAUUAUGGCUAGAAAUUUUAAAAUCUUAUGGCCAAUGAUAAUUAUGGUUGAAAAUUUUAAUAUUUAUAAAAAUCAUGAUGAUUUUACGAAAGGGAAUGAAAUCACAACCGAAGCUGAAGGAAACCAUAAAUCGAGGUUAUGUUAGGUUUAAUAUCUAGUGGUGGAAGAAUGAAGGAAAAAAAAUUGUGACCUAGCUAUUGUGUCACUCUAAUAACGAUCUUCUAAUUGUGUGUGUUAUCCCAAAUGCCCUAAGUUUGGGCCUAUAAACAAAAUUAAUCACUGAAAAUAAAUAUUUCGGGGCUGGGGCAUUACAACUUUGUUCCAUGAUGAAUCAAGCAAAAGACCGAGGGGAAUAUUGGAGAAAGCUUUACUUUUCAAUAGUGGAAAUUUAUCCUCCGUUUCUUUUUAUCAAUAAACAAUGACCACUUGAUCUAUGCAGCCUAAAGAUAUUGGUUUUCCAUUUCUCUGUAUUCAUCACAAACGUUUUGUUUUGAAACAUAAUUUUUCUGAUAAUGCUGAUAUUCGUGACUAGUAUUGAUUUUCGCUUCUUUGUAGAACCCAAGCCUCAAACAACUUGUUCUACCAACCUGGAACCUAAUUACAAUGAUUGGAUUUGAAAGUGGUUUAUAUUUUUUUAUUAUUAAUAUAUUUUCUGUCGGUUUUAUCCGACAGGGAAUGCUCUUAUUUAUUCAUUAUUAAUAAAUUCUUUGUCGGUUAUAUUCGACAUAAUUUCUGUCGGUUUUAUCCGACAGAGAAUGCUCUUAUUUAUUCAUUAUUAAUAUAUUAUCUGUCGGUUAUAUGUGACAAUUUCUAUCGGUUUUGGAAUAUUUUUGGUCGGAAAAUUCAUUUCUUGACAUUGACAAAUCUGUCGCUUAUUAUAUCCGCCACUGCAUCCAUUUUCUAUCAAAUUUUGCUUAAUAUCUUACAAUAAUAUACGUUUCUUGUCAGUUAUCAUAGCGACACUAAUAAAUGGUUACAUAGUAACGGUGGUAGCAGGGAGUGGAGUUGAAGCUGCUGCAUUGGAUGACUCCAUUAUGGGAGAUUGAGGCACUUGACAUGAAUCAAUUAUAGAAGAUGAUGAUGUGCAUAUUGUAGUUUGAUUUAAGCUUAAUGAAGAGACAAAAGGUGGUAUAGAGAAUGCCAAAUCAAUGGGAGGACUUGCUUGAGAUGAAUCAAGUUGAGACUUAGUUGCAAGAUCUUAAGACUUAUUUUGAAAUGGAAAUUGAUGUUCAUCAAAAACCACAGGCCUUAAGAUAUAAAUCCUUUGUAUAAUAGGAUCAAGACAUCGACACCCUUUGUGACGAAGACUAUAGCCCAAAAAAAAAACACAAUGUUUACUGUUGCUAUCCAAUUUUGAAGCAAUAUAGUGUUUAAGCCAAGGAAAACAGCUACACCCAAAUACUUUUAGUCUUAAGUAAUCUGGAUGAGUAAGAAAGAAUAGUUCCCAAGGUGACUUAAGUAAACCCCCAAUAGGUAUCAAAUAAACUGCAGUUGAGAAUGCUUCUACCCAAUAGAGGUGUGGUACUUGAGAUGCAAGUAAAAGAGUUCUAGUUGUUUCAACUAAAUGUAUGUGUUUUCUUUCAACACAACCAUUUUGCUCAGGAGUAUGGGGGAACUAAAUUGUUGCAUAAUAUCAUGAGACUUAAGAAAACUCUUGAAAAUAUUGCUUGUAAAUUCACUCUUUGAAUCAGAUCAGACAACUUUUAUUUUAUUACCAAUAAUUUUCUCAAUAUAACGCUUAAACUCAACAAAAACUGAAUACACUGCAUAUUUAGAUUGCAAAGGGAAAAACGAACUAUAUUUGAUGUAAUCAACUAUAAACAAAUAGUAUCUAUAACCACUCACUCAAAGAACAGGUGAAGGUCCCUAUACAUCACAGUGCAACAAUUCUAAACAUUUGGAAGAUACAGAGCCAAAAUCAGAGCCAGCUCUAAGGGUGUACAAGUGGUGCCACCGCACAAAUCCCUAGUUCAAGAGGGCCCUCGAUUUAUGAUUUUAUUUUACAUGUAUAUAAAGUAUAUCUACUUAAAGGUCAAAUAAGUUCUUAGCAUAAGUGUUCUCUCGCUUCUUAUCUUUGUAGUUCCAACUGGGUUCGAAUACCUCUUGCAACACAUUUUUUUAUUUUAUUUAAAGUUCGUUUGUAUUUAAAGUAAAUUGUAGCAACAUUCUCUCAACUUUAACCCAAUUGGAGUAAUGGUCUCUCAACUAAAAGUCAAAUAUCAUUGGUCCCUCAACUCAUCGAAACGAGUCACCUGUCAUGCACAUGAGGCUAGAUUAAUGGGGUAAAUAUGGAAAAUCAAAUAAGAAAACUUGUAUCAAUGGUCCCUCAACUUUAACCCAAUUGUAACAAUGGAUGGUAAUAGAUUUUUAGUUGAGGAACCAUUGCCCCAAUUUGGUUAAGGUUGAGGGACCAUUGCUACAAUUUACUCUUGUAUUUAAAAGCAAGGAGUUCCAACUUUAACCCAAUUGUAGCAAUGAAUGAUAAUGUAUUUUUAGUUGAGGGACCAUUGCUACAAUUUACUCCUGUAUUUAAAAGCAAGGAAUUCCAACUUUAAUCCAAUUGUAGUAAUGAAUGAUAAUGUAUUUUUAGUUGAGGGAUCAUUGCUCUAAUUUGGUUAAAGUUGAAAGAACAUUGCUACAAUUUACUCUUGUAUUUAAAAGCAAUGAGUUCCAACUUUAACCCAAUUAUAGCAAUAGAUGGUAAUGAAUUUUUAGUUGAACCAUUGCUCCAAUUUGGUUAAAGUUAAGGGACUAUUGCUACAAUUUACUCUUGUAUUUAAAAGCAAUGAGUUCCAACUUUAACCUAAUUGUAGUAAUAGAUGGUAAUGAAUUUUUAGUUGAGGAAUCAUUGCUCCAAUUUGAUUAAAGUUGAAGAACAAUUGCUAUAAUUUACUCUUAUAUUUAAAAGCAAGGAGUUUCAAACCCAAAAAUACAGAGGAUGCAGAUAGAUACUUAGCCAUCACACCACGCAUCAUUUUAUUUAUUUUCUUUUACAUUAAAUCAAUUUAUGCACAAUUAAAAAUAUAAAAAAAUACAGCAACCAAAAUGUUAGAUUUUAUAAUGGGCUUUGUUUGAGUCUUGCACAGUGCCUCUACAAUCUGAGAGUCGGGCCUGACCAAAACAAUAAAAUUAUUUGAAGCCGUUGCUUGAUUCCAUCUUCAUUCCAAAUUCCAUUCCAGCACCUUUAACAUACGAAAAUUUCCAAAUACUCGUAGGUGGUUGUUUUGUCCUCUCUCUUCACAAGUGAAGGCAGUGUCUACAUAAGUGGGCCCACCGGAAUGAGCACAACACAGCAACAUCUGGGAAAGAUCCAGAGGUCGAUAGCAUCGAGGUAGAAGACGCCUGAUAAAAAAACAAUUAUACCUUUAAAAUAAGAUAUAUUAAUUAUAUCUUUAUCUUUAAUUAUAAUAUAUAAAAUAAUACAAAAUAAAACUCGUUAAUUGUAAUUUUUCUGUUUACAAAGAAGCUCUGAAUCCUCCGUUACAUUAAUAUCAAAUUCUAAGUCCCCACCACUCGUACUUGUAUUCCUAUUUGCCGUUACAAACACGAAAGUACAUUUCUUCUCCUAACCAAUGAACGCCUGACACGCUAAAAACCGAAUGCAUCGGUGAUUUCUAUUUCCAACGUGUCGUGUGGAGAGUGCGAGUAAAGAAACUUCGCGUGUAAAUCUGAUUCGUUCAUUGUCAUUAUACUGUUAAAAAGUAUUUUGAAAUUUUUAUUUAAAUUGAACCAAAAAUAUACGCGAUAAAAAUUGAUCGUACAAUGUACGAUAAACGAUAAAAUGGAAUUGAAUAAUCUUCGGAAUCCUCAAAGAGAAGAUCCGAAGGGAUCAUCAUCCCUGAGCGCGUACACUGAGACUGAGGGGUUCUACUGUGUGUAGAGUAGUAGUUGUGUAGUAGGAAAUGCAAUUAACGAGGGAAAGCUGUUUCUGGAUUUGCAGUUUCAGGCCGCAUUAAUUCGAUUCUACGCUUUCUCUCUCUAGAAAUUGAAGAAACGCCAAAAGGUUGGAAGGAAAACAAACAGCAAGUUUCGCAACAAUGACCAGUUAGCUAACGCACUCUCUCUCUCUCUCUCUCUCUCAUUGCUUUCUCUCUCUUCUUUCUUUGUAACUCUCGCUUCAUUGAAAAAUUGAGCAAUCAGACAUCCUUUGCUUUCUCUCUCUAGCUGGUAAUGGUGGUUGUGAGAGAGAGAAUGAAUUAAGAGAGAGAGAGAGAGGGGGGGGGGAAUCAAUUAGUUAUCAGCAACAAGGAGUGGAGAGAGAGAGAUUUAGAGAGAGAAAAUGUUCAGGGUGCACAAGAACAGGCCUGCUAAGUCAGGGGAGAGGGUUGAUUUCAAGUUCUCCCACCUUAAGGCCCUCCAGGUGUUAAUUUAAUUCCUUCUCUUUAAUUGCAUAUAUUUUGAUUAAUUUUAUUGACAAUUUAGUGUAAAAUGUAGCAUUUAUUUCAAGGUCUAUAAUUGGAGAGUGUAAAAUGAUCCAUUAACAAGUAACAAUAGAUUAUUGUGUUUGAUUUCUAGAUAUGGAUUGUACAAGAACCAUAUUUUGUGCUUUCGGGAUAAUUAUGUUGCCAGACUGUGAAUCAAGACUGUUGAUCGGGUGUGGAAUCAUGUGUUAAUCUUAACCUAAUUCGUGCAACAUAACACGUCAGAUAUCUAGGAAUGUAUCAUUAUGUUGUGUUGUAUCGGUUUGUUCUUUGAGUGGAUGGAUUUUUCGAUGUAUUUCUAUCAGCAAGUAGAUAUGAGUUUUUGCUUGCUUGCUGAUGAUGUAUGUGGUUGCAGGUCCCCAGAGGAUGGGACAAGCUGUUUGUGUCUAUCGUCUCUGUAGAAACUGGGAAACCAAUUGCGAAAUCAAGCAAAGCAGUGGUGCGCAACGGAAACUGUCAAUGGACUGAGACUCUCUGCGAAUCUAUAUGGAUUUCCCAAGAUGAGUCGUCCAAGGAGAUGGAAGAUUAUUUCAUCAAGCUUGUUAUUUCAAUGGUACCGUCAUUGUCACUGAUUUAUCACACUAUGCUGUUUUUGGCAAUUAAUUUUCUUUUUUAUGUGAAUCAAUGAGGAAUCUGGUUUAUCUACUUGCUGAUGUGAUGACUCAUUUCCACAAUCGAAUUUUUUUGUUUUUUUUUUGUUGUUAAUUGCUUAUCGGUUCUAAAUGAAAUUUUUAUCGUAGGGAUCAGCAAGAUCCGGUAUCCUUGGAGAGGUUUCAGUCAAUAUGUCGGAUUACAUAAGUUCAACCUCUUCUGCUCCAGUUUCUCUUCCAUUGAAAAAAUGCAGUUUUGGGACAAUUCUGCAGGUGCGUUUUACCCUUUUUUUUGUUAUUUAUGUUCAGUGGAUGUUUGACAAGUUGCACAAAACGCCCUUUUCAUUCAUUCGGUAUGAGAAAGCCGUAUGUUGGGUUGAGUCAAAAUGCGCUUCUUAUUUUUCCAAUGUACAUAGUAUGCGUAAUUCAUAACGGUCUCUGCCAUCUACCUAAAUGUUGAAAGUACCUGAAUAUGUUUCUGUUAUAUCUUUAAAAAACAUUGAUGCUUAUCAUCUUGAAAGCAUGGUCGUGUUUCCUCUCUUUUACUGAAUGCGGGAGCUUGAUACUUAGAUAAUUUCUAUGAAUAAUUCUUAUCGAAUUUAUACCAUAUUUGGUGAUAUGAGGAUACUGGCCACAUGGCCUGUAUUUUACACCUAGAAGGGUGGAUGCAAGUGUAUAUUGAAGUUAUUUACAUAAGAACAUGAAUAUAAGGAUUUGAGUACUUAUUUUCUUCUCAACAUCUCUCUCUCUCUCCCCGCUCAUUGCACUAGAAAUUCACCUCGGAGCUGCCUUUUCAGCGGUGUUUGGUUGUCUUUCUUGUUUGCAGGUAAAAAUUAACUGCCUCACACCAAGAAAAAGGCUCAGGUUAGUAUUAAACAAUUGAUUGCGUUAGUCUUUAGAUAUUUAGUUUUCUACUUGAUGGUGAAGACUUUCUGCACUUUCUUCAGUGAUGAAGAGUCAAAAGAGACAAGGGAUCAUUUGGAAGAAGCAAAUGCAAAUGGUCAUGAUGCAGACAGCAAGUCAGAUGGAUCUAAUACCUCAUUUGUACAGAGUGCUGGAUCUUCCUUCGGAAAAGAUUUUGGCUUGAUCUCAAAUCCUGGAGAGCCUGGGAGUCGAGUAUGUUUACACUUUUCCGUAAAAAUAUUUAUUUCCAAUUUACUGUUCAAUCAUACCUUUUCAUACUAUAUAGCACUACCUGCUUCAUUUGGUGGCUUUAUUGUGUUUGCUUCAUUCAAUCCAGAGAAUGAUCUUGGAUUUAAUAACGUUCUGUUUGUUGACACAUCGAUUUAACUAAUGAAGAUUUCAUUGAAAUUUAAUUCAAUUGUCUAGUACUCAUGUUGCUGAUAUCUAGACCAUAUUAACAUUCUAGUUUGCAUGCUGCAGAACCUCCCGAUGGAUUAAAAUGCUUAUGAACAAGCUGUGCACUGGUGUAUCCUUACCAUGAAACUAAUAUGUCUUCCUCACUUUUUGUAGGGUAGCAGUUUCUCUGCAUCAGGUUCACAUCACAGCUAUGACUCAGCGGAGGGCUCCAUAAGAAGGGAUAAUAUGUCCCCGAGAAGCAACCUUAGUGUUGAAGGCAACCACCUGAUAGGAAGACAAGAUUCAAUCACCUCCCUAAUUAGUACAACUCAUGGAAACUUUCCUGCUGAUAUCCCUUCUCCAUCAAAUAAUUCAUCAUUUAAUUCCAGGAUUAAUGGUUCAGGAAAUCAUUCUCAGAAUUCUCGGAAAGAUUUUAAAGAAUCAUCUUUAAAAGCCACUGAUUCUUCUAAAAACCUUCUGGACGCGGCAGAAGUUACGAUUGAAGAAUUACAUGCGGAAGCUAAGAUGUGGGAGAGGAACGCCAGGAAGCUAAUGCUUGAUUUGGAUAUACUGAGGACAGAAUUCUCUGAUCAGUCCAAAAAGCAGGCAAAUAUGAAAGUGGAGCUUUCAGCAGCAUAUGCAGAACGCAAUGGCUUGAAGAAAGAAGUUGAACACUUGCAAUUGUUGCUUGAGAAUUCAGUGGUUAAACAAACUGCCAGUGAGAAUUUAACUUAUCAGGAUGAAGUAACGCCAGGGAUUGAGAAGGCGUUGCAAGAUGAGCUGAAGUUUCAGAAAGAAUCUGUUGCCAAUCUGGCUCUGCAGUUGGAGAGAAGUCAAGAAUCAAAUAUUGAGCUGGUUUCGGUUCUCCAGGAGCUGGAAGAGACAAUUGAAAACCAAAAGGUGGAGUUGGAGAAUCUUUCAGAACUACAGUCAACAUUUGGUGAUAUGGAAAAUUUGAUCAAAUUAACCAGAGAGGAAAACAGAAAUUUAAAGCUUCAGCUGCAACAAUUGCAGGAAUCAGAGAACAAGUUGCAAGUUGCGGUGCAACAGUUUGAACAAGCUGUGGAAGAGAAAAACCAUGAGAUAGAGAAUGGAUCAAGUCUGAACGAACACUCCGUUUUGGACAUUGAGACAGAAUACAAAUGUAAACUGCUUUUGAAAGAACAAGAAAUUGUUAAACUGAAAGCAAAGGUAUCUGAGUCUCUCAAAGAAAGGCAUUCUACAGAAAUGGAUUCCAUCACUGUGAGUGGGGGUGAAGCAGAUCUGAUCAGAGAAAUUGCGGACUUGAAAGAAAAGGUGCAGGAGCUAGAAAGAGAUUGCAACGAGCUGACAGAAGAAAACUUAGAGCUCUUGUUCAAGCUUAAGGCAUCGAAGAAAAAAUCUUCAGGGGGACACGCACCUGGUGAACUUCCAUCCAGUGAGCUUUUAUUCGAUUCUUUUACCAGCUUUGAGUCCGAAGUAACUGAAAAUAAACACCAAAUACAAAAUGUGGAGGAGAAGCUUAACAAGAAAGUGCUUGGGGAGAUUACAAAUAAUAAUGAUGUUUCAGUUCAAGUACAUGACAGCUUGAAAAUGGAACUAGAAAGUAAAGUCACAGAGCUGGGUAAAGAAUUGACAGAGAAGAGGUUCGAAAUAGAAAAACUUGAGGCAAACUUGCUAACCAAUGAAGAAGAAAUCAGUCUUCUAAAAGGGGUCCAGAAUGAAUUAGAAGCUAAGGUUUCCGAUCUUCAGAAGGAAAAAAUACAGCUAGAGGAACACAUGGAAGUUGUAUUAAGGGAAAGCGAUAUCAGCUCUAAGUGUUUGAAUGAUUUGCGGCAUGAAUUAAUGGUGCUUAGCAGAAGUGUGAAUUCCCAUGUUUCCACACAUAGGGUACUUGAAAGGAAAUCUUCGGAGCUAGAAGCUGAUAAAUGUGAACUGGACCGUCACAUAUCAGAGCUUGAACAAGAAAACAUACAGUUGUCAGCAAGUGGUUCUGCACUCGAAGCUCAAAUAAGAUGUUUGACAGAUGAAAAAGAGGCCAGUCAAUUAGAAUUAGAGAAUUCCCAAUCUUAUUCUCUGAGUCUCCAAGAUGAGAUCAGUAGAUUGAAAACUGAGAUGGAGUCUGAUAAAGUUGAACUGAAACAGAAAUUAAAGGACUUGGAGAGUCAGUGGUCAGAAGCUCGAGAUGAAUGUGAAUUUCUGAAAAGGGCAAACCCGGAGCUACAAGCUACUGCUGAGAGCCUCAUUGAAGAGUGCAAUUCUCUUCAGACUUCAAAUGAUGAGUUGAGGAAACAAAAGCUGGAGUUGCAUCAGCUCUGUUCCGUCUUGGAGGCAAAGUUGAAUCAAUCGCACGAGAGCUUUACAAAUUGCUCCAAAAGAGUUGAAGUGCUGGAAAAGGAUCUUUCUUUAAUGCUGGAAAACAUCGCCUCAAAAGAGGAGAGCCUGAAUUUAGAAUUAGAUGCACUUCUUGAUGAAAACAUGAAAUAUAAGGAGAAGCUUACAUUGGAAGAAAGUUUGUUCAACAAGAUGUAUUUGGAGAAGACGGUUGAAGUUGAGAGCCUUCAGGAAGAGGUAGAUCGACUUACCAAGCUACUUGCUGCAACUCAAGAAGAAGGAGAAGAACUAGCUUCAGAUGCCGUCCAGGAAGCAUCCAGAUUACGAACUGAGAAGGAAAUGCUUGAGUCUGCUCUUCGAGAGGUUCAAUCUAAAGCAAUACAGACUGAGGAAGAAUUGAAUAUUAUGAGAAUAGAAACUGAAGCGAAGCUACAAGGCCUGGUCACUGAGCUUGCUGCCUCUAAACAAAACCAGGAAGUAAUGAUGGCUGACCAUGAAAGGCUAUUGAAGUUGUUGGAGAAUUACAAAUCGAGUGAAGCAAAACUGAAGACCACUGUCAAUGACCUUGAACUAAAGCUUACAGUUUCUGAUUAUGAACGUCACCAAGUGUUGGAAGAAUCUAUUAAUAUGAAGGUUCAGAUUGAGAAACUAACUCAUUGUCAGGAGGAAGUUUUGGCUUCCAACAAUGAGCUGGAUGCAACCAAGUUUGAGAAAGAAAAAUUGGAAGUGUUACUGCAUUCAAUUUCUGAGGAAUGUCAAGAUCUGAAGGCAGAGAAAAGUUCAUUCCAUGAGAAGAUCUCAACAUUGGAGAACGCCUUAUUUGAAUUGGAGGAUUGCAAACGUAAUAAUGUUCUCUUGGAGGAAAAAGUUCUGCAGAUGGAAGGUGAUCUAACUGCAAAAGAGGCUUUGUGUGCACAGUAUGCCGAGCUGAAGAACGAGCUCAACCAGAUCAGGAGAGCCAACGAGCAGUAUCAGCUGAAAAUACAGCUACUUGAGGAGGAGAGAAGUGAGUUCCUAAGAAAGUCUCAGGCCCUUGAACAAGAAUUGAAACUAACAAGGGAAGAAAAGCAGAAACAGAGGGAUUCCAGCAGUCCAAAGAUUUCCAGCUCCUCAAAAGGCGGCACCAGAGCUAUUCCUGUUGGUGAAGAUAUGAAGGUCCUGAAAGAAAGUACCAUUUUUAUGUUAUCUGCUUAUUAACAGUUGAUGUUAAGACUGUAAAGGUAUUGACUUCUGACGUUCUUUGAUUUUUCUCUAAACAGAACGAAAUGGGGAAGAACAGCAUUCCCCGUCGUGAUUUUAGAAGGAAGCCAGUUUUGAAGAAUGGUCAGGUGCAAGGACAUGCAAGAGAUCAGAAUUAUCCAUAUAGAAACCAGCAUCAAAGAGAGGUUAGUAUCCUAAAACUUAAUUUGGUCCUGCUUCUACAGCUGAUCCGCAACGAUAAUAUGUUCUCAUUUUAUUUAAAUUGUCGGAGUACAAGAAGACAUACACAUAAUGACGUAGUGUAUGAUUACAUGUUUUUGGUUUCAUUUGACUCUACAAAUCUUAUAUUUUGUUUUUCUCAUUCUCAUUUUAUUCUCUGCCAUUACAGGAUGACAUUGGAAUCCAAUUUCAUGAUGAAAAUCCAAAUUACGUUGAAGAACUUGGCUUAAAGAUUAAGUUGCUUGAAGAUGAACUUGUUAAGGCAUUGGAAGCAAAUAACACUUACAAAGUUCAGCUUGAUAGGUGAGUGUAAGAGGAAACGCAUUAUGCCUUCAAAACACAUUAAGUAUCAUUUGUCUUCUUAUAGUAAAUCUAUUUUGUACAACUCAGUCUUUUAACAUAUAUAUGUUAUCACCACCCCAGGUACUUGUCUGAGGCCCGACACAGUCAAGCAGAUGCUCGUCGAAAUUCAAAAGCUGAAGAAAGACACGAACGCUCGAGGUCAUCUCUAGAGGCAGAACUGAAAGACAUUCGCGAGCGCUACUUAGACAUGAGCCUGAGAUACGCGGAGGUAGAAGCUCAGCGCGAGGAACUUGUGAUGAAGCUCAAAACAGCCAAGGGUGGCAAAAGGUGGUUCUGAUGAAAGAUGAUGACUCCAUUGCUGUCAUUUUCUUGAGUUUACCAAUCUCAGGUAGCUUUUUUUCGCACAUCUUUGUACAUCACAAUUUUUCGUCUGCACGAAUUUUCAAGUGAGUGAGUAGAGGAGAAUAUAUGUCGUAGCCAAAGGUGGAAAGUUUCACAAAUUGUUAAUUACAAGUACGAACUCAAAUAAUGCGAUUAUACUUAACUAAUGAUUUGUACUAGUCAACGUUUUGAUAAUAUAAUAUACCAGAUUAUUUGCUUGCACAUUUUUUUAAUUUUUUUUAAUUUUUUUAAAUUAGGAUUGGAAAUCUGCCGUGCAAACUUUGGUUAGGCAUCAGAUAAUAUUCUUCCAAAUCUUUAUGGAUAUCCUAUGAAUAUACAAUCUAUAUGCUAAAACUUAAAGUGAAUGGGGAAAGGAGUAAUGCGCUCUUCAUGGUUGUGACUUGUGAGACUGAGAGCACUAAGUUUUUCACCAAAUAUAAAUAGUAAGUAGAACACUUACGUUCUCUCUCUCUCACUGCACCUAAAUUUGAAUUUUCUUUUGCGUAGUUUAUAUUAGAUUAAUUAGAAUAUUGCCCGAAUAAAAAAGAACAGCACCGGUUGGCUCCUUAUAAAAACAGAUAUGAUUAUGCACAUUCAUUUUCUUCAUCCGCAAAUGAAAUGUGAAAAUCUUGCUGCAACAUAAAAAAUCAGUACAAUCAAAUGGAACAAAUGUAUAAAUCACUAUAGAAAUGACAAUCACUUUUGAGGGUAGUGGAGGGUAUAUAUGCUAUGCUUCAAGUCUGAGUAAUAAUAAGGGCCGAUUGGAAAAGGAAAAGGAAAUUGGAAGUUUCCUCCACAAGGCAUUACGCAAACGAUUCAAAGAGUUUCAAACUUUUUAGUGGUUGAUAAAACAAGGGAACAGAUCACUAAGACAGCAUGAAAAUCUCUCACAUUAUCACUCAACAUAUCAACCAAACAACACUCUAGAAAAAUUACCCUAUUGACUGCAUGAUGGAUCCGCCACUACAUCUUCAAAUGCCACAAUUCCAUGUAAACACAACCAAACAUCGGUUUGUAUGCAUGACAUUAUUGGGCGCCAUGUGGCAACCAUGGUGUAAUCAUGCUGAGUUGCUAAGUAAUUUUUAAAUUGUGACUGUAACUGUAACUAUGCCACUAGCAUGUGGCAUUACCAAUUUGCUUAUGUUAUAACACGUUUUAUAUUUUUUAAUUAUACAAUAUAAAUAUUUUGUGUAUGUAGCCCAUUUAUGCAGUAGCAUAUUCAAUAAUUUUCAUGGUGGGAGCAAGAUCAAGAGGCUAUCAACACAUUGAUCGUGAAGAGAAAGGUCUUAAGUAUUAAUUAGUUACCAAAACUUUUAGUUUCUAACAAGAAGUUAAAUCUACCUUUAAUGCCCAAGCCUUCAUACCAUUUUCCUUCCUUGCCCUACCUCGCUCUUGAUUUGCAUAUAGAAACAAAACAAAACGAACAACUUCUACUCAUUUCCGACCGCUUUCAGUUAGUGUUCAUUGCUGGAUGAUAGCUCACUAAAAGAUGAUAUAGAAGCUCUCUCUCUUAGCAAGCGAAAAGAGAUCGUGGAGACAAUUUGUGAAGCUACAUCAAUGAAAUGUUGGACAACUGGCGACGCAAUAGCCCAUGCUUGCCCAAGUGUAGAUCAGUCACUUUUAUCUAUGUUAUAAUGCUUGUAUGAAAGCGCUUUUAAUUGAAAGAAACGUUUUUUAAAUGAUUUAAAGGGUUUUUGGUGAAAGUGUUUUUGGGUUCCAAAAGCACUUCAAGUACAUUUUGGAAGAAACACCAGUUAUGUGCUUCUUGUAGGAAGCACAUUAAGUGUUUUUCCAACCUUCACUUGCAUUUUUUCUAAAGAUUGGUUCCAAAAGAACUUUCAUCAAAAGCGAUUUCAGCCAUUAAAACAUGAAUAUUCUCCAAGUUAUGCUUUCACUCAUUCACUCAUUGAAUUAUGACUUAGGCUAUAACCAAUGAAUAAUGUUACAUAUAUCAUACUUACUGAUCACAUUGUUAAUUAGAAAGAGGGUCACUCUCCUACGCACAACAAUUUACCACUUGAUAGGCCCAUGAAAUCUUUUAACAGAAUCCCAUUGCAUGGUACUCCCAAAACCUCUCUCUAAUGCACAAAACAACCAACAAAAAUCAUAUAUUAGUUAGCAUCGUCAAAUUGACAUUAUAAAAUGUGUGCAUAUAUAUAUGUAUGUAUGUGUGUGUGUGUGUGUACACGUGUUUAUGAAAAAGAAAAAUUAAAGAGGAGGAGGUGUCAUGCAUGGAUAUCAGUUGUGGAGAGGUGGCACUGCAAAUGGCAUAUCCUUUGGAAGAUGCUGAAUAAGCAACCUCCAUUUCUCACUUUUCCAUGCUUUCUUUUUGGUUUUCCUUUAGCACCGAAAAGUCAUCACUCCCUUUUAUUGCCCUCAUGACCAACCCACAAUUCCUAUAACAUCCAGUCCAACAUUUCUGAUCAAAUCCUCCUUUGUACGAUUCACUGCAGUUCCAAUCCAUCAUCCGUUUCGUUCCCGGCCAUCCCCGCCACCAAUGGCAGCCAAAUGCUUGAACUGAAGUGCGUGGCGAGGGUGGCCUGGUCGGGUCUUAAUUUGCUUGUUGGAUUGGAUGGUGAUGUUGUUUGUUUUAGUUAAAUAACUUCUGUUAGUUUAGCAAGUCAGUGUGUGUGUUUUAGUUACUUUCCCAUAGCCUAGGCUUCAGCUUUCAAGGCAGAAUGGGACGAAUUAAUAAAGAAUGUUGAAAUUCUCUAAAAGGGCAACUUCAAUCCUUUGGCAUUUGGCUUCUGCAGCGUCUCUCUUGGCUUUCUUGUGUGUUCGUGAUCCAGAAAACUAUCGUACGUGAGGGCCCGUCGGAGUCAGGCGUUGUGUGUUCAUGCUGUUAUGGAAUUUAAGUGUGUUGUAGUUGUGUAUUUUGUAGGCCUUUGGCCCAAGCUUAAGGUUUGGUGUAUGCAGCUGGCCAAUGGCUAAGUACGUCCUUUACAGUUUCAGUACUUCUCUACAUGUUAUCAGUAAAUUAAGUAUGUUGCUUUUCUCUGCUGAACUUUAUCAGUCAUCUGCAUGAAUGAGCUUCUCUUUUUUACCUUUGAAUUUUGUGCUUUGUUGUUGUUGGUUUUUCUUUUCUUGCACCUUGUUGCAAGCAAUGUUCAGCCUUACUGUCAGAUUAACAGCAAUGUAGCCAAAAUAAACAAGCAUCUUUUCAUAUAUCAUAAUGGAUAAAUUAGGAACCUUACUUACUUUCAGUUUAAAAAUAAAAAAUAAAAACUGAAAACCCAAAACUCAAAGAUACUUUUUUCUGAGUUUUCAACAUUUGCCUUUUAGUUUUCAAUGGAAAUUUAAAUGUGAAAGUAAUUACUUCAAAAAAUGAAAACUAAAAAUAAAAAACUGAAAAUGAAAUAGUUAUCAAACAGACUAUUAGUUUGUAGUUUUCAUUUUUUGUGUUUUUGAAACAAGAAAAUAAGGGAGAAAUGAGGAUGAAGAAGGAUAUCAGACAGGAUAGUGGGGGAGAAAUAAAAGUACCAAAUGAGAACAAAAUCUAAGGGUGAUGCUAGAGAAAACACCAGAUUUUAGAUCAUAUUUUGUAGAUCACGUAAUGUAGCGGUUGAUAUUUGGAUUCUUUCUUUAAAUGAUUAAAAAUAAAUCCAACCAUCUACCAUUGCAUCAUGUGGUUUACAAAAUAGUCUCCCUAGCAUAUAGAAAGUGGAACAACUUAAAAUAGUUUGUUGUUUUUAAUUUUAAUUUUGUGUGUCUAUCCUAUUAUAUUCUCUUCCCUCCACUAGUUGAUAUCUUUUAUUUCUCCUGGGUGGGCAAAUAGACCCUGGACCUGGAAGUCAGGGCUGGUUCAUGCAGUUCGGGGGUAGAUGUAGAUCUAAUUUUUUUUAAGACAAAAUGGGGCGGGACGGAGCGUGUCCACAAAACUAGCGGGACGGAGCGGGUCCAAAAAUCUAAAGAAACGAGCGCUCGGCCUAGACCUUCCCCUCCCCCCACCUCCAUCGUUCGAUUCUGGGAAGCUCAACUCCUCAAUUUCGACGGCUCCAGAGGAUUGGACUUAAAGCACCUUGUGAACGAGUCAUCUUCAUUUAAAUUCAUGAUCAUCAUAUAAUUACAACCUUAUCAGAUGAUGCAAUCUAUAAUUAAAUGAGAAAGAACAAAUAAUUUGGAGAGCGAGGACUUACAUUGAUAUGUCCAGCAAAUCAUGCCAGAAAAGCAAAAUGAGAUAACCAGCAACGGGCCGGGUUACGUUCAGUUCUAUUCAUGAAAACACACGAUUCACUCUGCUAUGUUCCGCUCUGUUAUAUUACAAAUGGGUUUAGUCUGAUCCUCCCAAUUUUCAGCACGGACCUGUCCUACUCAUGCCCACCCCUAAUUUCUCCAUAUAUUUCUAACACGAGAAUAAAUUAAAAGCUAAAAGCUAAAAAGUUACCAAAGGACACAUAGGAUUUCCGUUUAGAAAAUUGUUAUAGUUACCAACCAUAGGUACUAGGGGUGGGCAAACGGGUAUAGGAACCACGAGUCGGGGCGGGUCUAAAAAUUAUAAAUGCAAAACGGGACGGGGCAAGGCGAGUACAAGUAAAUAACAGGGCGGGUACAGAAAUGGGAAUAAAUGGGCCCUUAGCCCGGACUGUUGAUUUCCUACGUUGGUUUUUUACGAUUGAUCUCACCGCCACCAUCAUCAUCAGACCUCAACCUUUCCUCCUGAUUCGCUCCUAUCUUCCUCGCUCCGUCUGCUGCCAUUAUCAUUAGGCCUUGAUCUUUGGUGAUGUUUUGUGGUGCGCCAAUGACAGGGUUGUCGAUGAGUUCAUGAUGGAGCAGCUUAUCCCACCGUACUUGUUCGCGUUCACUGUCAAUGAGCUAGGGUACCAAGAGGUGGGCCUAAGAACUAGGGUUUACACUGAGGCGGUGUCAACAGUGCUUGAAUCCGACGACAAUUUAUCCAUUUCUCUCUCAAUUUUUCUGAUUUGUUGUCACAUCCCAGCCCGGGCCCCACCAUAUCCUGGGCUUGAUUUCACCUUAGCACGAUAUCGUCCGGUUUGGGCUCCGACCACACCACUCACGGUUUUGUUUCUAGGAACUCACACAAGAACUUCCCAGUGGGUCACCCAUCCUCGAAUUGCUCUCGUGCGAACUCGCUUAACUUCAAAGUUCCUACGGACCCCGAAGCCAGUGAGAUCCCAAAAUGCCUCGUUCUAGGUAGAGAUAGGAAUAUACAUAUAAGGCUUACAGGAUCCACUCCCCUAGGCGAUGUGGGAUGUUACAAUCCACCCCCCUUAGAGGCCCGACGUCCUCGUCGGCACCCUUCCGGCCAAAGAUUGGCUCUGAUAUCAAAUUGUCACAUCCUGGCCCCGGCCCCUACCACAUCCCCAGCUCGACUCCACUGUAUCACGAUAUUGUCAGCUUUGGGCCCUGACCACACCCUCACGAUUUUGUUUCUGGGAACUCACAUGAGAACUUCCCAGUAGGUCAUCCAUCCUGGGAUUACUCUCGCGUGAACUCGCUUAACUUCGGAGUUCCUACAGAACCUAAAGCCAGUGAGCUCCCAAAAGUCCUGGUUCUAGGUAGAGAUGAGAAUAUACAUAUAAGGCUUACAUGAUCCACUCCCCUGGGCGAUAUGGGAUGUUACAUUUGUUCUGUCUGAUCGUUUUCCGAAACCCUAAUCCCCAAUUCUAAGGUUUCCCCUCGCUGAUCUCCCUCAAUUUGGCUCCACUUUCGCACUUCUCAAUCACUGCAAAUGGAAAUUCUAGUCCAUUUAAAUGGGAAAUUAGGGUUUGAUAGUCAGCAAGUGUGUGUAUUUUACGUCGUUGUGGGGGUGGUUUUUGGUGGCCAUAGCUGCUUUGAAGAGAGUGACACAGUCCAGCGUGAGCACUACUGCGAGUAAUUACAAUUCAUGUAAAGGUAGUGGUGGUAUUUGUUCACCGCCUGCCGCCAUUGAUAUGGCAAUUCUCGAUCAACUUCCAGUAGGCUUGUGCGUUUUAAUGGUCGAUGACGACACCACGUGCUUGAGGAUUCUUGAGUUGAUGUUCCUCUGAUGUCUCUACUAGGGUAUGUCGUUAAUCUUCUAGCUAGAACCUUAGUGAUUGAAUGAAGUACCAAAAUUUACAUUCAUACAUUCGUUAUCGUUUGAUGGCAUUAACUUUUCAAUUCCUGAUUAUCAAUUGGUUCAGAUUCUCGGUUUUUAUGUCGAAAAUUUUGAUAGAUAGAUGCUGUUUGUUUUUGCCUAUUCUCAGUUUAGAAAUUAUUAUUUUUUUUAAAAGUUAGACCCGUGGGGCGGGGCAGGUCCAGUAAAUAACGGGUCGGGUUAGGCCCAGUUCCAAAACUCAAAAUCUCUCUACCCAGAUCGGCCCGUCCCGUUACUAUUUAAAACGGAUAAGGUCCGGUUCCUCCAAAAUUGUGCCUGACCCGGCCCGUGCCUAGCCCUUAUAGGUACGGUACAUUCACACUUCUCACUCAAUGCUCGAGUUCGAGUCCCCACAGCUGGUCAUUGAGGCUAAACCUACUCAUCGACGCCCAUAGUACGUAGGAAGACUUAAGCAUCGGCCUCAGCCUAGAGUAGUGCCCAUCUGCAUGAUCAAAACCACCCAAGAUCCUUAUUCUGGUACCCCCGAGAGUCAAAGACGAAGAAAUUACUCCAUUUUACCCUUUCUGUUCAGUAAUUUUGGAAAUUAAAUCCUAAAUUAUUUCAACAAAUAUAGAUAUUAGUUAGUCAUUUUUAAAACACUUCUGCUCAAAAACACUUUUGCCAUAAAUUUAGAAUCACAUUGAAAGUUUCAAAGAAAAUGCAAUGUCUCUAAAAAGGUACUUGACGUACUUCCUAACAAAAUGCGAUGGCUCCUUGAAUAUGCAAUUCAUUUACUUCUAAAACAUGUGCUUCUUCCAAAAGGUAGUUCAAGUAAAGUUUUGUACCCAAAAACACUUUUAACUUAUUUUGCCAAACGUAGUUAGCAAUCACUUUGGCAAUCUGAAAGUGCUUUUUAAUAAGGAAAUUUUAACGAAAAGUUCUUGAUACUAUUCACUUUAAUGAAAAAUCAUAUUUUUACACUAAAAAGUCAAUCAUAGUACUGUUCACUUUACCAUUUAUUUUGUUCUUAUCGUUAAAACUCAAAGUUUUCAAACCCUUUUAAUAAUUGUCACAUCCCAGACCGGCUCCGCCGUAUCACGAUAUUAUCCGUUUUAGGCCACGCCCUUACAGUUUUGUUUUUGGGAAUUCAUGCGAGAACUUCCCAGUAGGUCACCCAUCCUAGAAUGCUCUCACCUAAACUUGCUUAACUUCGGAGUUUCGAUGAAAUCCGAAACCGGUGAGUUCCCAAAAAGCCUCAUGCUAUAGGAAGGGGAGUAUAUAUGUAUAUAUAAGGCAUAUCAUCCCCUCUCUGUUGGUCGACGUGGGAUCUCACAAUAAUGUCCAAACAAUGCCAUAAUCUAGUAUAUAUUUUAAGAUAUUCAAGAUAUUAAUAAACUAAAUAUAACUAAAAAAAUUAAAAGGGUGAAAAGAAAACUAGCCUUUACAGAAAAUAAAGUCGCCGUAAUUCCUUCUCCGUCCCUCCCAUCUUCCUUUUUAUUGUUAUUAUUUAUUUCUUUUGAGUUGGUCUGUUAAAUAACAGUCCCAUUAUAAUGAUUUAGUCUUGGUUCAAGUCAUACUUUGGAUAGUUCAUCAUUUUGUUUUUCUUAUACAAUCCAAUCUUUCGUCCAAAAUUCUCUCGUUACAAAAAAUUUACUCUAUUUUCCAAGUUAAUUUUGGUCAUUGUCGUCAUAAAAGGACCCUUGUUGUUCAACAUUGAGCAUAAUUGUAUUACUGAAAACAAAGUUUUCUAAAGACGCACCCAUGCUCUACAUGGUUUUUUGCCUUAGAUGUGAUUGGUUUUUAUGACAGUUCUCAUUCAAGUGGUGACGGUGAUACUCAUGAUUCAGGAUUAUAGGUUGUUUUAGGGUUUAGAUUAAUUUGAUUUUAGUGGGCUUGCCUAGAGCUCAAAUUUAAAUUUUUGUGAAGUGAACUUUCUAGGUUUUAAAGUGGCUUUUUUUGUUUGUUAUUUCGUCAUUAUUGACUUGUUGCUUCUGUUUUAUGUUAUUUUGUACAAUAUUGAAUACAUCUUUAGAAGUUUAAUCAAUGAAAUUUGUCUUUUGAUACAAAAAAAAAAAGAAUAAUGAUUAUAAUAAUGGCUAAAAAAUAUGUUAAUACGAUUUAAGUAACACUGUUAUGUGUAAUUGGAACACUAUUUAUGAGUUAUAAUAUGAGUGGACGACAUGGUUGAUACCUCUCACUUCUAGAGUAUAUUAAUUAAAAACAAAUACAUUUAUUAUAAUUUGAGUGUCUCACUUCUAGAGUAUAUUACUUAAAAACAAAUACAUGUAUUAUAAUUUGAAUGAAAUUAUAACACCAUGCGCGAUUGUUUCGGGUACACCAAAAAAUCUCUCGCAAUUUAAGCGAAUUGGUUGGAGACUUGAAGAGUGUGCUCAUCCUUUACAUCCAAGUUUUAAAGUUUAAUCCUCUAUAAAUUUAGUUUGAUCUAAAUCAAUGUUUUAAGGAGAGGCAUGGUUUUAGGAUUUGAAAUGCCACAAGCCAAACUUGUUAGGGCUAUUUUAGUCAAAUUCAUACGCUUGCUUGAGUAAAGCGGCAAGUUGAUAAUUGAAUUUUUUUUUCUUUAAACAGAUUUUAUUUUAUUGACUACUUCUCAAGCUAUAGUGAUGGACUCCAUGUAAUUUUUAAAAUGGUUUAGAAUAAUUUGCUACACUUGGAUAGGAAUCUAAUUUAUAUGGUUGGGGUUGGUGUACUUCUAAAAUAGGCCAUUUAUUUAAAAAGAAAAAAGAAUGGGAAAACAACGAAAUGACACAAAUUUACUUACGAGGGUAAAAUGAUAAAAAAAAAACGUGUAGGUUAUGGUUAACUCUUCUCAGUAUAUAAAUAUUAUAAACGUAGAAGGCCAACUUGGUGAAUCACUUAUAAUACCAAAAGUUGCUCUUCUCUCGUAGAAAAACAUUUAACAUAAUAGAGACCAAUUUUUAUUAAAGGUCGAACAACUUUGUAUUCGUGUUCAACAGUAACGACUCAUAAAAGUUUAUAUUAAAAAUAAUAUUUAAGGGUAAUUUGGUCAUGAUGUUAUUUAUUUAUUUAUUUUAGGAAUUGUGUAUAUUGAUUAGUGAAUAUCAUCAUUCUUUGAUAAAAAAAUGAAAAUGAGUUUUAACGAAGGCUCUUAUUACUAUUCAAUCUUAAUUAUAAGGACAUUUUUUGUAUGGAAGUCUAUAAUGAGUCAAUCUCUUUUCAUUUACUUUUAUAUCAUUAUUUUAUUCAUCAUGACGGGGUCUUGUAAUGAUGUUUGCAUAUUUUUUUAUGCUGGAAUUAUUAUAGGUUACUUUGUAUGGUAUUACUGUGAAAUAUUCUCCACUUGUUACAUUAUUGUGCUACUUUUUCAUCUUUUAUUUAUCUACUGCCAGCUCUUCUAUGCUACUACCAUCAUGUUGUCAAUAUUGUGUAAUUAUUCUUAUGUCAAGUUGUUCUAGUAUUGAUAAUCUCAUUCUUCUAGUUCUAAUUCUCUUUCAAUAUAUUAUUUGAUCUUGUGAUAGGCUAAUGCAAUUUCUUCCUUGGAAUUUUGAGACUUCCAGUAGGGUUAAUUACAUUCAUUUUCUGCUACGAAUAACAUAUCAUACUUAAAAUUUUCGAACUCAUCUAAGGCUAACAUCUGGCCUCCUCAAUGUCUUAGAAUGCUUUGUUGUAUAUGAGUCCAUAUGUGGGUGAUAUAGAGGACAAUCUAAAAUAUUCUUUAUUUAUCAUGGUUAUAUGCCUUGCUUAUUUCUUGUGCAUAUGUAUGUACCAAUUUGGAGAACUACUGAUAAAACUUAUACAAAUUUCCUUUCAAACUUCUGAGCAAUCUUCUGCUACUUUUUUUAGCUUAACCGGGAGCAUUCUUAAUUGGGAAUUAUGGUUAGUAAAAAUCUUAUCGAGAUAACCAAAAUCUAAUAACAAACUUGGGUAACUUCUACUUCAUUAUGCUUUUCUUUAUGCUUAUAACUAAAAUCCCUUGGUUGGUAAUUUCUCAUGUUAAUUCUGGCAAAAGCUAUGCUAAUCUCUAAUUUACAAUUACAACUCUCUUUAAUAUCACAAAGACAUGAUAGAUAUAUCUUUGUAAUAACAUUCAUCCUUAGUUUGGAUCAAAGAUUGACUAAUUGAAAGCACAUCAUAAUUUGUAAUUGCAACUCCUGUAUGAAUUGUGAUACUCUAUUCAGGAUUUCAUAUUGCAUGUUCAAUGAUAUUAUCGGUUAUUAUUUCUAAUCGCAUAGUCCUAACAAAUUUUUCAUGCUUUUGUUGUUUUAUGCUAGUUAUUCUAUCAUCUUUGGUCUUAUGCUGCUCCAUUUUAGUAUCUUUUAAAAGCUCAGUAUUAAUCUCUCUCUCUUCAAUGGGCUCAUUAGUUUCUUGUCCUGUAUUAGAAGACUAAAUUACAUCUUUUUCUUUAUUCUUAUGUUGAUCAUAUUCAGGGUUCUAAAAGAUGUUAGGUGCUAGUCGGGUGGCGGGCUGGGGUUAGGCGCCUAAGCGGCUAGGCAAGGCCUAGGCGGACUAGGUGGAUAUAAGUAAAUCUAUCAUUUUUCGUGUAAAUAAGUGUCUAUUUAUACUUAAAAUAUAUAUAAUUUCAUCAUAAACUACAAAAUAGAAUGCAUAUAUAUUAUGAAGUAUUGGAAUAUAAUGAAAACAUGUGAAAUAAGGAUAUAAUGUGUGUUUAUUUAAGUAUGCAACAAGUCUCUUACAAUUUAUUGGAAAAAAAAAUAAAAUGCAAAAUGAAGUUAUCUAUUUUUUAUCUAAGUGAGUUGCGACUUAGACGAGUCUGGCAGGUUAGGUGUGUAAUAUCCCGAAAAUUUUAGGUGGUGAUUAAGAGUGGGUUACUUGUGACCAUUGUUAGAAAAAUAAAUUUGGAUCAUUUGAGGCUUGUAUUAAUUGGCCUUUGGUCCAUUAAAUGAUCUUUUACUAUUGAGACUAACCCUUGGAUAAAAAAAAAGAAAAAAAAGAAAAGAAAAGAUGCUUGCGUUAUUAAGUAGGGAGAAAAGGGGAAGGGGCUUUCUAGAAACCCUCUUUCUUGCUGCUCUCUUCUCCAACCGAGAGUGAGAGGACCUUUUUAGUUCUUUUGGUUGCCAAAUUCUCAAGGAAGAAGAAUUUAAUAUCCGGUUGUUUUACUUGUGAAGAUUAGAACAAGUGAGGAUCCUUCCUUUGUCUCCAUUAAAGGUAUCUAUUUCUCACUUUUGAAAUCUAAUUGUUACUUGGUUUGUUAACCCAUGAAUUAGAUUGGGUGGGAGUAGGAAAAUUUAAGGGAGACUUUGGAUUAGGUCCUUAAUUAUGAAAAUUCUUUGAUUGAAACCUUCUUAGUUUUUAAUUUUUGAUCGAGGUCCUUGAAAUUAAUGUAAUAAUUUAUUUCUAUGUACGUUACUAUAUUUUUUAAAUUAAAAAUUAGAAAUUUUAGUUGUUUAUAUAAAUGAGAUUUUAAAUAAAAAAUCAUAAUUUGUGGGAUUAAAAAUGUUAAAAUAUAAAUAUACUAUUGUGUGUAUGUGUAUAUAUAUAAACAUGGGUACAUUCAUCAAAAUUAACCAAAAAAAUUAUUGUAUCAAAACAGGGGUACAUUCUUCAAAAUCACAAAAAAAAAAAAAAAGAUAUUAGGCUUAAUAACAUUAGUAAAUUUCUUUGAUUAAACUUGACAUGGAUACAUUUUAAAAUCAAAGAAAAAAGAAUGUACCCAUAUAAGUUUAAAAAUGGAUUAGAAAAAAAAAAUUGAAUAGAUUUUAUAUUAAAAAAAAUGGUACAUUUUAGAUAUAACGAAUUGGUAUAUUUAAGAAUGAGUACAUUUUAAGAUUAAAAAGUUUUACAUGAAUGGGUACAUAUAAUUAG